GAGAGAGAAGGUGGUAGGGACGCUUCCAUCCUGUGCUGACCCUGUGGUCUCGCUAUCUUUGAGCUGUGCAGGCAUCGACAUUGCCCGCUCUUCAUCUCCGCCGGCAUCGACGGGAGGAAGUAUCCUAGGGGAAAGGCCGAGCGGCGAAUGAGAAGUACCUUUGUGGACGGAGGGAGAUGGAGUCAUAGAGGGCCGGCGCUGGUUGUAGAGAGAUACCAAGGUCCUAGGCCACAUAAUGCGGUAGUUUGGACAAUCGCCUAGGAUAUCCACACCUUCCUUUGGAGGUAGCGGGAUAGUAUAAUCCCAAUGCUCCUCAACGACGGAGUCCACCAUCACACUCACUUGUGCGUCGUUCAUGAGAAUGCCGUGCACCAGUGGCGGUGAUUGUCUGGGCAUCAGACGGCCAAUGACGCCUACAGGCUUCCUAGGCUUGUCAACGUGGAUACGACACUUCACCGGUGCCUGCGCGUAACAAGAAGAAGGCAUAUGUGUGUAAGAUCUUUAUUCAUGAAGGUUAGGAGUGAAAAAGAGUUUGAAAAGAUUGCUUACAAGGAUGUUGUCGCUCAGACCCGGAUCGUUAUCCCGGAUGCCCUCGCUUGGGGAAGGUUGGCUAGCGGGGGGGUUGUCCAUGCUACGAGCCGGGCUGUAACCAGGGGUGUAGGUGUCUUCGUCCUCCAUACGUUUGUCGGAGGCGGCGCUGCUCUUCAGCGGGGUGCUCUUUCGCGGGGGAAGAGGAGGAAGAGGAGGAAGGAGGUUCCUCAAACCUUCCACUCCUCCCCCGAUUAUGGCGUCAAGGGCGGGGUGGUCUUUGGCCAAUGCCGACACCAAAUGAUGGACGGCUUGCACUGCAUAUUCCCGCGACACCUCUUGAGACACGAUAGAUGCCUGCUCUCGCGCCUCCGCCUUAGCUUGUUCUAUUAUCUCAGAAGAAGCGGGGAGCUUUUUCUGGACCCUGCUUCGCUUCGGAGUAGGCGGGAAAUAAUCAUCCCAGCAGGCCCCUUCGCCUUCUCCUAGAACACGGCCCGUGUACUCCGCCUUUUGCAAGCCGGCAGUCACAGCCGACUCCCACCUCUUGCUCUGCACGGAGUUGUCGGAGGUUUCUGACAUCUUGCUCUCCUCCCAUUUGUGGGCAUUUGCCUGUUAUCAUAUAAGACAGGACGUGAGUCUAUAUGGAUCAGGAGUGUCAUAAUUAAAGCCGAAAACAACUAAAUGCACAUGAACCCUUACCGUAAAAAUUUGAACAGGCGGCUGCAUUGGCUCAAUGCCCGCCCACUCCUCGGGUGUCAUGUGCGGACGUGCAUAUUCUCUAGCACGUUGGUCCUCCAACAUGUCAUGCACUGGAGGCACCCUGCCUGCCGCCUCGAGAAUUCAGUACUGUUUGCGCCAGACCUUCUUCUUCCCCUCUUUCCCAGCACUCCCUAGCCUGUGGUUCAAGGGCUUCCUUGCGCGCAACGCUCUCAUGCGUUCACUCUUCGCAAUGAAGGCAGGGUCAUAUGAUUCCUUCUUGAAUUUUUCCCAUUCGGCCUCAUCAGUUACCGACGGCCAUUUCUUCUUGAUGAUCUCGUAGGGUUUGUCCAUCCACUUUCUAGCGGUGGUUUUCCAAUUAGCAAGUCCAUUGCGGACUGCUAUGUUGACGGCCGUUAAAAAUCGCUCGCGCCACUCGUCAGUGACUUGUAACCUCCUUGCAACGUCCGCGAUGCACGUGUUUCUAACGACUUCGGAGAUGUCACUCCACUCGUCGGUGAUCUUGCAAUACUUACGUGCAACGGCUCCACAGGUCGUUGCGAAGGCCUUUUGUGCCCUCUCAGGCGACUCCGGGCAGCCCCUCUUAGAGUGCCGGGUGACCACGUGACAGAACUCCUUCAAGUUGUUGUUGGGGAACGCGGUAUGCUACGCUAGCACAAAAUAAAAUUUUCUACCGCUUCCGCCCGGAUCAAUGCUGUAGAUAAUGGAUCACGAGAUUACCACUAGACGCGCAGACCCGUAGCGGAAGUAGAGUCGAUGUAGCGCGUCGAUGCCGAGUAGUCGAACAGCCUGCUCCUCCUCGCCGAUCCCACGAACAGUUCGUCCAAGCGCCGCAGGUGCAGCGCCUCCGAGGUAUCCACACGUACAGGGAGGAACUCCGUGCGGCGGACUGCUAGAUCCGAUCGCAAGGCUUUGGGCGUGGAGGUGCGACGGCCGAGUCUAACUCGCGUCUGAACUGGGGUUCACCCUAGACGGGUUGGUCUCCUCCACUUAUAUAGACGUCCCUAGUGGGCUCAACACUUGAGGCCCAUUAGGAGUCCAAGCCCGAUACGAGUUGGAUCCGAUCCAACUCGGUUCCUACCCCUUAAGCGUGUGACCCUUCAGGUUCGCGGUCAGUCGGCCACGACUACAAGCUCGGACCGCGGGCCCGAGUAACACCUUACUCGUCCACUGGCACCGACUCAAGUCGAUAGUUGGUAGCGGCGCCUAGCAGCACGUGCCAACUCCCGAGUAACCACAAGGUAUAUUGACGAACCAUACAAUGUGUCAUAUGCAACAUUCCUUUUGCCUCGCGAUAUGUGUGUCGAGCUCAAGGCGAGUGCGUGUCAUCCUUGUGGAUAGCUCGAGUCUCUUCUCGUUCCUGUGAUACAGAUUCCCGAACGGGUUAACACUUAACCCAAGUCACAUGGCCAUGCUUUCCGAAUCUGAUCACUCGAGAGGGCCCAGAGAUAUCUCUCCGAACAGGAGGGGCAAAUCCCAUCUUGAUCAACCAUGACUCGCAGCAUGCUUCUCAGCAAACCCGAAAACUACCUUUAUAACCACCCAGUUACGGAGUAGCGUUUGGCAACCCCUAAGUAGGCCGAUUCACAUCCCAAGCUCAUACGAUGACCUCAGGUCUAGGACUGGCAUAUACAUCGUACUUGAGACUAACAAAUGACAAUCAUCUCGUUGUGUCUCAGUGCGGGUCUGUCCGACUCAACAAUCUCAUUUUCGAGUCCAUGCUAUCAGUCGGCAACACCUUGCCCUAUGACUUGUGAAACAUAGUCAUCAUACUGAUUCACAUUGCUAGUCUAGAUUAUGUAUCCGCAUAACCUCAAUGACUAGGGACCAUUAGAACAACAUCAUAGAAUACAUAGUCUCACAAACAAAUCACGUAUUUAUUGAUACAUAUCAGUGAUGAUGUUCAAGGACAAUAACAAUAACUCAUGAAUACAUAGGAAAUAACAUCAUCACAUAAUUGCCUCUAGGGCAUAUCUCCAACAGUUGUGGCUCCCCCUCGGCGUCUUCUUCCUUUGCUUCUUACCGGGAGUUUCAGAACUGUCUUCCACCCGUCGCUCGUUGUCGCGCUCUUCUGAACGAGAGCUACCUGAGCCAGAGCUGGCAAUUUGCUCUCCCGAUGAAGACUCUUCAUUGACACGAUCUACCUCCUCCCGAUCAAGAACAGGUUUCUGGCUACUCUUGCCCAUUUCGAACUAUGCCAUCAAAACCAUCAAAUAUAUAUCGGCCGAAAAUUUCGGCAUGAUCUAUGCUAAAAAACUAGAAAUUUUUCUCUACUAAUAGCUCAAAACCUGCAUAAAAAACCCACCCGCAUAUGUACCCCCUCGGCACGAUGGCCGGCCCCUUCUCCAAUGACCCGACACGAUGGUCGGGCUCACAAUUCAUUACUCAAUUCUCCAAAAUAGCAUAUAAAACAUCAUGUAUAUAGCAUAUAAAAAACUACAAUGCAUAUACUCAUGUGUGCUAUAUAUUAUCAAAUGCAUAUAUUCAUGUGUGCUAUAUAUAAAAAAUUACAAUGGAAAUGUACUAACCCUAAAUUAACCCUACAAUAUACUAACCCUAUAUCAAAUUCACAAUAUGUGUGCCCAUCUAACUCAAUUAUCCACUACUACAAACUACAAUGCUAAUCCUAAAUUAACAUGCUUCUUUUCCUAAAUCCUAACUUUAAAUUAACAGCAACAAAUCCUAACCCUAAAUUAACUGGAACAAGUCCUAACCCUAACCCUAAAUGAAGCUAAAUCAGAGGAGAGGGAGGGAGGCAGAGGAGAAGGAGGCAGAGGAGGUAGAGAAGGCGUGCACCUGUCGCUCGGGGAGGACAGAGACGGCGCGGGCUCGGUGAGGAGGGAGACGGCGGCGCUCAGGGAGGAGGGAGAAGGCGGCGCGGGGUGGCAGCGGUCGGGGUGGCGACGGUCAGGGUCGACGGGCAAGGGGUCGAUGGCGAGGACGAGGCUCGGGCUCGGGGACGACGGUGCUCGACGCGGGGCAGCGGGCUCGGGGUCGACGGUGGCGGCGGCGAAAAAAUCCGGCAGCGCUUCGCUCUUCUAGGGUUAAUCGCCCACUGUUGGUCGCUCCUUGUGUUGAGGACGCGCGGGCGGAAUAACCCUAGAUUUCACUAAGUGUUCCUUUAUAUACCCCAUGCACAAGAGUAACGGGCGGAUAAGGGAGGCGACUGUUACUGAUGAUCCUUCGAUCAUCAGUAACGGUCGCGCUAGAAAGCACCCGCCACUGAUGUUCACCGAAGUGCAAUGCCCAUCUACUCAUCAGUAACGGGCGCGUAGAAGCCUGACCGUUACUGAUGAGUAUAGGCACUCAUCAGUAACGGACGCAUAGCAGCCUGGCCGUUACUGAUGAGUAUAGGACAUGGACUCCAUUUCUCUAGUAUUUGUACAUCAUGGAAUUCAUGUAUUUAAAGUUUGAUGAAUAAAUUCAUGCAUUUCUCUAGUAUUUUUGCUAAAUUAAAUUCAAAAAAUUCAUCACAUGCAUACACAAAAAUUCAUCACAUAAUUUCACUUAGUACAAAGUUUGCAUUAAUAUUCAGUACGAGUACAUUUUUACAAUGUGACUACUAGUGCUUCUUCUUCCUUCGGUAAGUCAUAACUUGACUCCUCGCAGAACUGCUUCUGAGGUAGGGUUUUGUGGUAUUUUCUCGCUCCCAUCACUUCUUCUUUUCCCUCUCCUUUUCCUCGUUAAUAUCGUGCGUUCCGCUUUUUCAUCAUCUGCGGCGAUCGUCGGAUCAUGGAAACCUUCGUAGUCUUCUUGUGAAGUAACUCCGUCCACUCCAACAAUGCUUCUUUUCCCUCUUCUUACUAUGACGCGGCCUUUAUUUGCCGGGUCAUCUAUGUAAAAACCUGCUUGAAUUGUUUAGCAAAGACCCAUGGUUCCUCUCUUGCCAGGAUUUUUCUCACGUCGACUUGUUCACGAGGGAUCUCAGGUGGUAGCACCAUCGUCGUGAACUUGUGACUUUCUUCUUUGCCACCUUUGGUCCAUCUUACACGGAACAUUGGGAUCUUUGUGAUCGAGUACUCCAAUUCCCAGAUCUCCUCGAUAACGCCGAAGAACGCUUUGGUUUUGCUGUUGUCGUCGGUCGCGGUCUCAGAAGUCAUGACUACACCACUAUUUUGAUACGUGCUUUUACGGUCCUGAGACACGGUGUAGAAGUUAUAGCCGUUGAUCGCAUAUGAUUGCCAAGUAGAGACGUGAUAAGUAGGUUCCCGUGUCAAGCAUGCAACCGUUUCUUCUGAUACAUUGGUCAUCUCCCUGCCGUACCAAUAAUUCUUCAGCCACCUUUCGAAUGUUUUAUUGUGCUCCCAAUGGAUCAAGACUUCUGCUCUUUUAAGGUUUUCAUUUUGCAGUUGUUCCAUGUGCAUUUUCUGAUAAGGCCGGCAGCAAUCGGCAGUUUGCAACACAACCAAAUGUGCUCUUUCAAAGUCAGCUUCCCUUCCUCUUCCAUAGACAUUAAGGUAUGUAUGUCCAAGGCCACCUUCGCCAUCGAGCUUGCCCUUGUGCCGUGAUUCGGGAACACCUAUUGAUUUCUGAUCGGCCAACCAAUCCGUGCAGAACUCGAUGCACUCUUCUGCCCUAAAGCUUUUCACGAUGCUACCUUCCGGACGCGAUCUGUUACGAACGUACCGCUUCUGAACCCUGUUGUAUCGUUCAGGGCCAUACAUGUUAUGCAGGAACGAGGGCCCUAGGGACAAGAUCUCAUCGCAUAUGUGGAUCACUAGAUGGACCAUGGUAUCGAAGAAUGAUGGAGGGAAGAACAUCUCGAGCUUGCACAGAAUCUGUAUCAUAAUAUCCUUCAAUAUUUGGCAUCGUCUAAUGGUGAUUGACUUCUGCGAUAUGCUGUCAAAAAAAUCAGAAAGCUUCAUGAUUGUCUCCCUUACGUGCGGCUCCAUGAUACCUCUGAUUGCGACUGGAAGUAACUGAGUGAGUAUGACAUGGUUGUCGUGAGACUUCAUGCCAGAUAGCUUGUGACUCUUCAUGUCAACUAGAUGCUUGAUGCUCGACGAGUAGUUCGAUGGGACUUUAACGCCCUCCAGACACUGGCACAUCUUAUUCAACUCGUCUUUGUACAGGUUGUAACAUGAAAGACGACACCGCGUGGUCACCGUCAAGAAACCAUUCUUGUCGGCUGCCGACACUUGAUCUUUGCCCCACAACUCUUUCCUGAUAGACAUGAGUUGUAGGUCCUUCCGUGCAUUGGGUCCAUCUUUCGUCUUCUCUGGAUUGUUCAUCAACAACCCCAGCACGUUGUCGCAUACAUUUUUCUCCACGUGCAUUACAUCUAUGCUGUGGCGGCAUUCCAAAUGUGCCUAGUACUCCAGGUCCCAGAAUACGGACCUCCUUUUACACACGACGCCUUCAGGUUCCUUAUAUUUCUUCGCAGAAAUCUUUCCGGGGACAACUUCAAGAUCGUUCACAAUUUCGAGGAUUUGCAUACCAGACUUCUCUUUCGGCGCUGUCCCGUGCUCCAUCUUCCCAUUGAACAUUUCCUUGUCAUCCCUCCAAGGGUCUUUAGCAUCCAACCACUUUCGGUGGCACAUGUAAACAAUUUUGGAUGAAGCGGGCAAGUUCUCCGAUGUCGUGUUUUCCCCGCACUUUGUACGGGCCUUGUAGCCAUGUGUCACCUGGCAUGAAGUAUUUCCAUUCGCGGGGUAGUCAUGCACGCAGGUCAGAAGUGCUGCUCUCAUCGUGAAGUACUCCCUCCUGUUUGCGUCCCAAACCACUCUGCCAGGGUUCCAAAACUGCUUCAGCUCAUCCUUCACUAGCUGCAGAUACACAUUUAGGUCAGCUCCCGGCUGCUUUGUACCCUGUAUGAGCAUGCACAUGUGGAUGUACUUUCUCUUCAUGAUUAACCAUGGAGGAAGGUUGUAAACAAACAAGAUCACUGGCGCUUGUUGUUCAUAAUUCCAAAAAGAUUUAUCCCGUCAGUGCUGAGACCGAGCCUCAGGUUUCUGGGCUCUGCCCCAAAAUCAGGAAAUGUCGUGUCGAAGUUCCUCCACUGAGUCCCAUCGGCAGGGUGUCUUAGGACCCCAGCUUCCUCCACACGGUAGUGCCCGUCAGGAUCGAAUGCAGCCUGCGCCGGAUCGUGAUAGACGAGAUACCUCGCGUCCUUAACGUUCUGCAUCCAACGCUCAACUUGGCCACCUGCCGUAAGAUACCAGACAGUCUUUGCCGGCCUGCCCUUCAUCACUUCUUCCCCAUCGUCUUCGCCAGCUCUGGCGUUUUUCUUCUUGUAUCUCGAUGCACCGCAUAUGUGGCAGCUCUCAUGGUUCUCGUACUCUCCAAUGUAUACCAUGCAGUCGUUUGGACAUGAUGAUGUUUCACACAAUCUAAUUCAAGCGGGCAUGUAAUCUUCUUCGCCUCCUAUGUGUUCUUGGGCAACUUGUUUGGUUGUGAAAAAACCGAAGCAAGGUAACUCAACAAGUUCGUGAAGCCCUUGUCUGCCAGCAUGAUGCUGCCUUCAGCCUCAAAAGUUCGAGCGUCACUUCGAGCACGUGGUUUUUUUUGCCAGCUCCAUCAUACAAGGGUGUAUUUGCGCCCUCCAACAAUUUUUUGAACUGAGCAGACUCUGCUUCAUCUUCGGGGUCCUCCAGCUGCUCCCGUAGGUACGGGUCAUCUAGCAUUUCGGUAAUCCUGUCUCGUGGAGCUCCUUCACCUUCCACAUUAGCCUCCUCAUCGACCCUUGUUUCUUCCUCGGAAUCAUUCGCCAGAUCAUACCGCAGGACAUCAUCAUCUUCGCUACCGCUACCGACAUCAACCACAUCCUCCCCGUGACAAGUCCGGCGAGAAUAAUCUUCCACAAAACCCGAUGCCAUCACGUGCAUCUGAACAUCUUCAGGCUUCAUCAUGCAUGUGUUUCCACAUUUGCGACAUGGACAAUGCAUCAUCAAAAGUCAUUUUUGUUCCAUAUCACCUUUCGCGACUCCAAAAAAGACCGUCCAUUCGGUUAUCCAUUGAGCAUUGAUUCUUUCCUUGGCGUACAUCCAAAAACGGUCUUUCGAUCUACAACACAAUACACAAGAAAACAAACAAAGCAAAAUAGUUGGCAUAAUCAUUGACAAGGGAAUUAAGGUGUUAAUUAACCGGAGCUAACUAAAAAUUUGAAAUUAGAGACAUUCGGAGAGAAAUUGGAGGCCGGCGAGAAAGAUCGAGAGGGAGAGAGAGCUCGCAAGCGACAGGAAAGCUCCGGGCGACGACGAGGAGGCUGCAUUUUGGCCGGCGGCCGCGGAGCUCAAAAAUUUGAAAUUGGGGAACUUCGGAGAGAAAUUGGAGGCCGGCGAGAGAGAUCGGGAGGGAGAGAUAGAUCGGGAGAGAGAUCGGGAGGGAGAGAUAGAUCGGGAGAGAGAGGGAAGCUUCGGGGUCGAGAAUCAGAGCUCGCUGGCCGUCGGAGCUCCAAAAAUGGAGAUCGGCAGCCAUGGCCGCCCGCCAGCCAUGGAGACGGCGCCGCCGACGCGAGGGGGAGAGAGGAGGAAGGGGGAGGGAGGAGGGGCUACCUGGGGGGCUCGCCGGCGGCCAUGGCGUCGUCGGGCAGCGCCUCGCUGUCGCCGGAAGUGAAGGAGCCACAGCUCGUCCGUUACGACGCGCAGCGCGACGAGCUGCGGCUCUGCCCAACGAAUUUAAAUCGCGACGCAUCAGUGGCGAUCGGGAAACGGGCGACCGUUACUGAUAAUCGUGGACACAUCAGUAACGGUCGCGUUGGGUCGACCGUUACUGAUGCGUGGUUCAUCAGUGGCGGUCCCCUUGCGCGACCGCCACUGAUGUACGGCUGGGCGGGGACGGGCAAAGCCCGUUGUGUUCAUCAGUAACGGUCGCGGCCGCGACCGACACUGAUGUUAUUCAUCAGUAACGGUCACGCCGGACCCGUUACUGAUGUGCCGUUGCAUAUAGACCAUUUUGUAGUAGUGUAGAUGUGACUAUGUCGCAGCUGACUCAAUCGCUUGAUUUUUAGUUUAAGCAAAAAACGCUUAAAUCUAAGUUGACACAUCAUGACAUCAAAGCCAUUGAAAUACGGUUUUGCUAUAUCUGAAUUGUCUGAUUUUUAGCUAGAGAUCAGAUGAUUCCUCAACCAUUGGAUAUGUUUUUACGCUUUAACAUUCAGAACGAACGAUGAAAGGAAAAGAGUGGGAUGGCUUCCAAAUAAUAAUUGAACGGUUGUGAUACAUCAACUGAGAUUUCACUAUUUUUCUUAAAAAUUGGGCAACUAAGAUAUAGCCACAUCCAUUGAAAUACGGUCUAUCCGCAGUUGUCCUAUCCUCCCUCUCCCACGUUCUGUCGUUGUAUUAAGAUGUGAUCGUCAAGCAAAUCGACUGUUCGCUGACUAAAAAAUGUACAAGUUUCUUAUACCAAAACCGGCAACGCUUAAUUCUAUCCGAACAACUUAAUUGUCUUUGCACAACUGCACUGGUAUGUUUCUCCUUCUAAUAAACGCGAAGAGACAACACCCGUACGUACGGAUGCAACAGCGACAUCGGUGGACCACGGCACGGACACACCUACACCAGGGAGUAGUUGUGUAUGGGCGCAAUACGUACGGACAGUUUUUGUACGGUAUUUGUAGCUUGCGCGCCACAGGUGAAUGUCACGUUCCCAGGUAGGAGACAUGCACGUCUAUGUAGCUUUUGGGCUGCAGCAACAUCCAUCUCCAUCUCUUUAUGACUUUAUCUACUCGCUCUGGCCACCUCUCUUCAAACGACUUAAAUUUGUCUAAAAAUAAACGUAUCUAUAUACUAAACGGUUUUGCUAUUGAUAAGUCGCGAUCAAUUGACAUGUGAGCCAUCGGAUCGUAAUCCAAUAUAUAAUACUUCCUCCGUUUCAUAACUCUUGUCUCAAAUUUGCCUAAAAAUGAAUGUAUCCAUUCCUAAAAAACGUUUAGUUACAUGUAAUAUUUUAACGACUUAGAAAUAGCCACACCAUAUAUACUAAAAUACUUCUAGAUACAUGUAAUAUUUAGGCACUUCACAUUGGACGGAGUAAGUAAUAAUUUUCAAGCGAAAAAUUAAUUGGGCCUAUUUCUAUAUUCACUCGUGUCAUCUCCAACAAGGUACUAGUUAGUACCAGUACUAAAAAAUUUCUCUCCUUUUUUCAAUGUGUUUCAAUUUUUUUCUUAUUUAUUUCUUUUUUUGAUAGACCCACGUGUCAUCUUCUUUGUUGUCUUGAUAUCCGUGUAGUACAUGUUAUUUUUCAAACGACCAUUAUUUGGUUGUGUCAUUCUUCUCUCAUUUACAUUGACCACUAAUUUUCUUGGUACCUGUGUAGUAUCUCUUGUGGGAUGCCUUUUGCAACCUUGGGUCAGCCAGCCAUGCGUGAUUCCAGCAAGGCCGAUACACGCACGGCCUACCAAGACAUGGAUUGGGAACCUACGAUGAGCUUUAGCCUUUAGCCCAUGCUAUAUGGAUAAUUGAUUUUGGUUCUCAUGGAUCGAGCAGCGGAGACUUAUUAACGCAAGGCUUUGCCAAAAAUCAAGCUCAUCGUUGAUAGUAUGAUCUUGUAGCCUGAACUAAAAUAAUGUAUUUGUAAAAUGAAAAAAAGGUCGUAAGGAAGAAUAAAAUGGUUUCCUAUGCUGCUAUGUGCUAUCGACGGAUGCGUCGUCUAAUCGUUGCUAUGGACCAUACAGAUGCGGCAUGACAUCUCGACAUCCAUCUGGAGUUAAAUUCCAGUCCUCUGUUAUAUAGUAAAAGCAAUAUGAAGAGUAUUGAGGAGAGGUUUCACGUUGAUUCACGUCACCUCAAUUAGUUUGACCGUUGGAUAGAAGAUCCGAGGAUCAUAAAUUGUUUGUCCAAACAUAUGUUACGUUGCUAAAUCCUCUAGAGUCCCACACGAUUUCCGUUAAAAAAAUAUGUCACAUUAAAACAUGUCACGUUAUCGCACUAAAUCCCGCCCCUCACGAUUUCCAUUAAAAACAAAGAACCGGACUCUUGGUUUUAUACGCGCUUUGCACGGACGGUACAGAAGAUCGAUUAACAGCAGAGCAAUUAAAACUUCCUUUCAAAAAAAAAAAUUAACACGUACGAUAAAUUCUCGGCAGAUCUAACACCAGUUCCCACCAGUCCAUAUCUUUCUAUGCGCGUUCAACAGCAGUAUCUGUCAAUCUAUUAUGUUAUCUAUUUUUAUCUAGGAAACCAUGCCGCGGCACGACGAUGCGCGCACGACGCCCAGCUGAGCAGCUCCUGUUGUGCUUGCAAUGCAGUCUUACGCAAGAAAAAAAAGAGAGGAUGCAUGCAUCUCUAGGUCCAGUGCAGCACCAUGCAGACGGCGUCGCGCACGGAGGCAAACUAGCUGAACUGCGAGCGUUAGUUCUGUUUUAUCUAUUCUAUCGUUACUCCUUCGAUUUGAGUGUCACUGAAUUUGUACAAAAUACUAAAUUAACAACACUUAUUAUGGAUCGGAAUAAGUAAAUAUAAAAAGCAAUAUGAGCAGCACCGAGGAGAGGCACCGCACUCAUCCACCUCAUCCUAAUUAUCUGGUCCGUUAGAACUGAUAUUCGAUGGUUAACAUUUAGGGAGUAGGAUAUAUCUAAUGGGUUGGACAAAACAUCAUUCAAGGCCCACAUAGGCCUAAUAUUCCAUAUAAGCCAAAAGUCUAUUUGUAUUGUGCCAAACGUAACAUACUACGUUCUACGACAAAUAUGUAUGAUAUCACAACUUUUUUUCAUUAUUUUUUGUAAUGGAUCGCGAGAAUAUUAAGUAGUAAACUAUUCAUUAUCUUUUAUCUAUAUUAUGAAAGCACGAGGAGGGCUAUGAGGGGAGGCACCAUGCUGAUCCACAUAAUCUAAAUUAUUUUAACCGUUAAAUCUCAUAUUUGAUGACUACGAUUUAAUUAGGUGGAUAUAUCUGAUGGGUCAAAGACUAAACAUCAAAGUGAUUUGAGACCAACAUAGGCCCAAUAUGCUAGAUAGGCCAAAUAGUUCUUUACAUGAUUCCAAACGCACAAAUGACCAAUCAGUUUGAUUUGCAUCAUCUGAAUUGUUUAAACCGUUAUAUAAUAAAGCACAGUAUAGGGCACUAGCGUUGAUCCACAUAAUCUGAAUUAUUGAAACUAUUAGAUCUUGAUUUGUAUGGUGUCAAAAACAAUAUGCAAAGACCGUUGCACGAUCAAUAUGUUAAGACCUCUCAACUUUAUUUCCCUUAUAUGUCUUCUGAAUCAUGAGAAUAUUAGGUAGUAAACCUAGCUCCAUUCAUCAUAAUCUAUAUUUAUGCAAGAGGAUUAAUUAUCAACGAGCGUUUAAAGAAUUAAAAAAACAUUUUUUAGGAUUACGAGAAUAUGAAGUAGUAACCUCCUCUCAAUCCGUCAUAAUCAAUAUUUAUGAAAGGAUUAUUUAUUAACAAGCAUUUAAAGAAUUAUAAUUGUACAUCCUAACACGUAAACAGAACAUAUUGCAUUAAUGAUUAAAAAAAGUUACGACCAUGGGCAGAUCCACCUUGGGGGCACCAUGGACACGUGCCCAGGUUUCUGGGUUGUGUAUCCAAAAGGGAAGCAACGACUCUAAUGGUGUCACGUGGCAGAAUUGUGAAGCUUAAGCCCGAGCACAUAGGCUAUAGACUUAGGCUAGCUCCACCAAUGGUUAUGACAUGACCAUUUUUUCAAUGUUUUCGACAGAUAAGAGAAUAUAAAGUAGUAAGCUCACCUCUAUUCAUUAUAAUCUACGUCUAUAUUUUUGCAAAGGUGAGUUAUUAACGGUCAUUUAAAGAAUUACAACUCUACAUGCUAACAUGUGAUCCUAAAGUUAACUAUGGAUACUAAUUAACAUCAUAUAUGAGCGACUAACUAGAUAUCGAAUAAAAAACAAUUACUAAUCAAAUAUCACUACAAAGCCAAAAGGCAAAUGACUAGCUCACGAUCUAAACUUUGAUCAAGUAUAGAUAAAAUAAUCAUGUAAAAGACCUCACAUAAGGAUUUAUUAUUAAAAAAAUCUACUUAUAUAGCUUGGCAUACACACAACACGUCAGUGCAAACAAGUGAUUGACUAAUCCAGCUUGUGAAGUUUAAACUUUUGUAAAUAAUAAUAUACACAAUCAGUCGUCUCAUGAUCAGUCAUCUCAGGUGCGACCAUCAUCUCACAACAAUCAAUUAGUUUAACGCACACAUUGAUCAACCAAUCAGGCUCACAUUGUAAACUUAAAAUUGUGAAUUACGAUCUAAAGCCACAUAAAAAUAAAACGUUGCGUCAUAUUCAAAACACAAUAAUUUCAUACUUCUAAGAGUAGUGUGAUUAGUUAAAUGUGCUUUCCUAGAUGUAGGUUUUGUUAGUUGAUCUGCCUUUAUAGCUAUUGUUGUUGUUCUCGACAACAAUUAGAGUAAGGGGUGCCAAUGCUCGAUGGCACAAGUGCGGGUGUAAAUGUAGGGCGUGUACGCCGGCCUUAUAGCGAAGGUUGUCGUACACUUGGACAAGUUGACACGUCAAUAUUUUUUGAAUAUGUUCGGUCGACCCUGCAGGUGCGACUUAAUCCUAUGUUAGGAAAAGCUUCGAGGGGGUUGUUAGCCGAGGGUUUGGGCCGAGCGGAUCUUCCCAAGACACCUUUAGGCGAGAGGUCCGUCGGGGCCGCUCGUACUUGGACCGAACGCGUAUUUCCAAGUAUCGAGGUUAGGAUUCCCUCGGAACUCUAACCCAACCCCUUCUCCUUCGAGUCCGGGCCGAACGCGUCUUCCCGGAUCUCGAAACUAGAGCUCUUUGCAAGAGACUCUAGCCCUCUCCCUUGAGUUUAUUCAAGUGAGAGUGAAUGAUACAUGCCCUCAUGUGGGGUAUUUAAAGCCUAGGGGUCCAUGACAAAUGACCAUGGCUACCCUUGAGGGAGAGAGAAAAGUGGAGGCAAAAGGAUAAAAGUAGGUCCUUUGGUCCAUAGCUUUUGUGUGCACCAUGAGAGAAAAGUAGGGUUUGGUCCAUGGUCCACCAUGGACCAAGGGCCCUCCUCUCACUUUUCUUGCUCCCCACUCUAACUCAUUUGACCCCUUGACCAUGGCAUGAGAGGCUUGACUUGUUGACUAGUUUUCCUCUGCCACGUAGGAUUGACCGCGCCACGUAGGUGUCUUUGACUCGUGCUUGCGGAAUGUUGACUUGGUCGCCAUCACAUAGGAUUUACGGCUCGGCCCAUAUAAGGGUUUAUUUUACUACUAUUCUUCAAAUUUUAUUUGAGUGUAUAUGUGUAGUGAGGUUUAUUAAUUUUGCAUUUCGAAAAAAUCAAUCGUGAACAUGGUUCGUGAAGGAACUUUUAAUUUCCUAUUUUCAUACUGGUCUAAUAGCACAUACCAGUGACAUGCCUUUGUCAUUUUUUUGUGCUUUAAAAAUAAUACAAAUACAAUAAUAAAUAUCUUUAAUAAAGAUGUUUUGCACGGGACACCUUGCUAGUUCUUUAAUUAAUGCAAAAAAGGGAAAUAUCAGGAAAACAUAGCUUAUGCAUUUUUUUUGUAAAUCCGGUACGCAUAUCCAUUUAACUGGUUUAAGUAACACUAAAGUAACAUAUCUUGGAGGGAAGCGCCGUCGCCGCGUCGUAUAAUUGCCUUAAAAAAAAGAUACUCUUUCCGUUUCAUAAUUUUUAUCUCAAAAUUUGCCCCCAAAAUAAUGUAUUUAUUUAUAAGAAAUGUUUAGAUUCAUGUAAUAUUUCGACAAAAAUUAUUAAACUGAGGGAGUAUCUCUUGUCCGUCGAGCACAUACUGCAUAAGCAUGCACACGCAGGUUGUGUCUCUGGUCUCUUCUGCGGUCAUUUGCAGUUUCGCGCUAAACUGACUAACGAACACUUCAAAGUUUAAAAAAAUAAAAAAAAAAAUAGCGAGAGCACCUGGUUGCGGGCUUGCUGCAGGAGCUCAAAGUUAAAUUGAUGCUCCUGUCGCCUAUAUAUACGAGCCAGUAGCUCCUUCAUCACAGCAUCAAGAUCACCACCACAAGUGCAUCUGUGCAAAGCGUGAAAAACAGAGCAAAACAUCCUCUGCCUCAGCCCGCGAAGCCAGCUCCUCUCCCCUGUUCCUACUCUGUUUCCCUCACUCACUGACUCACUCGAGAGUUCCUAGUGGAACGCGAGGCUUUGCUCGGGACCCGGCCAUGGUGGCGAUCAAGGCGCCGAGCUCCAUCGACCACGCGAACCCGCUGACCAAGUCCCCCAAGGCCGCAGCAGCAGCAGCAGCAGCGAUCCCGACGGUGGACCUGUCGUCCCCGGGCGCGGCGAGGGCCGUGGCGGAUGCCUGCCGCGGCGUGGGCUUCUUCCGGGCCACCAACCACGGCAUCCCCAGCUCGCUCGCCGCAGCGCUCGAGGCCCGCGCCAUGGCCUUCUUCGCGCUCCCGCACGAAGACAAGGUGGACGCCACCAUUGCCGCGGCCGCCCGGAGGCCCUUCGGGUACGGCAGCAGGAGCAUCGGCUCCAACGGCGACGUCGGCUGGCUCGAGUACCUCCUCCUCUCCCUCGGCUCAAACUCAAACUCCAGCUCCAUCCCAGGAGCUUCCUCCCUCCCGCCAUCGCUCCGGGCGGCGCUGGAGGAGUACACGGGAGCGGUGAGGAACGCGAGCGGGAAGGUGCUGGAGCUAAUGGCGGAGGGGCUGGGGAUGCAGGAGAGAUGUGCGCUGAGAAGGAUGGUGGAUGGAAGCGAGGAAGAGCUUGUCAGGGUGAACCAUUACCCGCCGACCAAGGAAGAAGACUGCGUGGCGGGGAUGACGGGGUUCGGGGAGCACACGGACCCGCAGAUCAUCUCCCUGCUCCGGUCCAACCGCACGGCCGGGCUCCAGAUUAAGCUCCAAGGACCCGACGCGCCAUGGGUCAACGUGGCUCCCGACCCGGAUUCCCUCUUCGUCAACGUCGGCGACUGCUUGCAGGUGCUGACGAACGGGCGGUUCAGGAGCGUGAAGCACAGGGUGGUGGCGCCGGAAGGGGCGCAGGCGUCGAGGCUGUCGGUGAUCUACUUCGGCGGGCCGGCGCCGGCGCAGAGGAUCGCGCCGCUGCCGGAGCUGAUGAGGGAGGGCGAGCAGAGCCUCUACAGGGACUUCACCUGGGGGGAGUACAAGGCGGCUGCCUACAAGACCCGCCUCGGCGACAACCGCCUCGGCCCCUACGAGCUGCGCAACGUCGCAGAUACUAAUCCGACGGCUCUGAUCACCGCCUCCAAGGAACCCACAGCCGCCGAUCACUGCUGCAGCAACAGCAGCAGCAGCAGCGCCGCCUGCGUCGUCGUCCAGCCGCCGCACGUAGCACAAGUGCACUAGCUAAGCUAGCUGAUGUCCGGCCGGCGGCUACUGUCGAUCGUUGGUCGGUCGUUUGAUGUGUAAUCCAGAUGUGGUAACUAAAGCUAGCUGUACGUGUGCCUGCCUGCUUUCCCAGCCCAAAAUUGGCAUGCGCCUGCGAAAAUGCCUCUCCCGCAUGCUCUGCUUCGUCCCGGUUUCAGUUUGUCCUUUCUGGGAAAACAUUUGUAACUUCCGCUAGUAGUAGUAGUAGGCUCGUAGCUGCAAGCCUGCAAGUGUGCUGCACCCUUUUGUCACCGGCAGUUUAACAGCUUGAAUCGCACGCUAUAUGCUGCCUGGUGUACUGUAAAUUAACGGCCCUAUUGUUCCGAUUGUCUUUGUGUGUUACUUACUUCUAGAGUACAAGUUAACUGGAGUACUAAGUGACAACGUUGUAAAAAAGCCCCCCUCUUCGCUUCUUUGGGGCCUUUUGUGCCGUAUAAGAAGUUAAGUACUUCAGAGGAAGAAGGAAACAGUUCAGUUUAGAUUCUACACGGUGCCAACCCCCGAUGCAUCAUCAAGACAUCAAGGUUCAGAUCAGACGACAGGGCUCGAGCCGUGCUCGGUAACAGCUCACGUCCGCUUGUUACAACUAGACGAGCCCCGUACGUUGUCGUGGAAAUUUUUAGUUAACAUACGUGAGCCCACGUUGUUGAGAACAUACAUGAAUGAAAAAUAGCAACAAAAGAGUAUUCAGUGAAAUGUAUAAUGGAAUUGUAUGAUAAAUUAUAGAUCAUUCACUUAGUAAAAAUAGCUUGAUGAAAAAUAGCAUGCAUGCAUGUGCAAAAAAUAUGAGUGUUUCACUAAAUAGAUAUGAACAAAUUAAUAGUGUGAUGAUGUGGCAUGCUUGCAUGUUGAGAGAAAUCAAGUAGCAGUAGCAUGUUCUUCUCCUUAGAUAUGGAAGAUUAGUGCUGUGCGUGGUACGGUUCGAGCUGAUCCAAGAGAAACGUGGUAUCUACGGAUCGGAUGUUCGGUUUACAAAAAAAAUCGGAACAACUAAAUCCUAUCCAAUUGAACCAUUGAUUCACCGGUUCGAACCUUCCUGUUCCUCAGGCCGAGGCAGCGAUUGAUCUCUCCAAUUCCUCGAUUUGCUGCUGCUGCCGCCGCCGCCGCUAAGCCCCACCGUGGUCGCCGCCGCCGUCUCCUUCAGUGCAAGUGAUCACAGUUCGCACCGCCUGCAAAUCCGCUCCCUCCCCACCCCCUCAGCGGCUCGCCGCCUUCAAAGCCGAAGCCAAGACGACUCCGCCGCUAAGACCAUCGGCGGCCGCCUCCGCAUCCCACGCCGCCACCGGGUGGAUUCGUCUCCAUCGCGCCGGCGCCCCCAACUCCCCGCCAACCUCCACCAUUACCCUGCUGUCGAUUCAGCGAGAUUGAAGUUUUUCUACCUCCGUCCCAGGCGCGCACUGCAGCCGAGCAGGCGACGAAAAUAACUCCUCCAUUACCCUGCUGUCGGCAACCUUCUUCGAGCUUUGAGCUAUUCGGCUUUUCCGGCCUGCAGCAGAGCAGCCGACGAGAGCCCUCUGGCAAGACGAAGCAUGCUGUUCUUUUCGGUAUGCAGUAUGCGCAGGCAAUUUAGGUUCGAACCAAAAGAUCCAUUGGAUCGUGUGGAUCACGGAUGCUGCUCCAAUGGAUCGAACCUUUUUACUCCCUUGCACCCUAGGUACGUGAAGUUUGGUGCGGUUCAGAGCCGGUACGAGCCACGCCCACCCCUAGUUACAAUCCGUUUUACUAAACCAACUAGUGGAAUGUCCGUGCUUCGUGACGGCUGAUGUUCAACAUAUAAUGGAAACGAAUAUUGAAAAGAAGGUGCAUAUCGUUUGCACGGAAUACAUAUCGGCCAUACCCAAUUGCUAUGAUAACAAAAUUCGACAAUACCAAAACAUUGAAAAACGACGAUAAAUAAUAUGAGAACUCAAGAAUACAGAACUUGGUUCAUACAUAGGAUGCGGUACAAACAGAUCUAUCUAAAGUACCACAUUAAAUAACAUCAAAGAAAGGUAAACUGGAACCAACCUAUAAUAGGGCAAGCUUGUUCAAGUAUAUUACAAUAAAAAUAUGCCUGGAAGGCAAAUUGGAAACAAAGAUCAUGAUUAGUGACAACAAAAACACUUACCACAUCUAUUAGCUGAUGAAAUGGUAGGAGCAAACCUUCACUAACAGCAUACAAGAACGAUGUCGCCAUUCUCUACAGCCUCCCAGAUAUUUUCAAGCCUCUCAUUCCUACAAGGACUUGAGUUGAUAUUAACAACUGGCACAGUUUGGUACCUCUUUUGUACAGUAGGAUAGAAUCACAUAAGGUAGAUUAUAUGUAUCCUGGAGGUUAUGGUAGAUUAAUAUAGACAACUUGUAACAUAUACAUUUUUAUAUUAGUGAUAUACAAGAAAUGGAAGUUGAAGGACUCAGCUACUUAUGGCUAAUGAAUUUGUUCAGGGUUCAGAAGACCGUAACCGGAUGGUUUGAGUUUCCAACGCAUUUGCAGCAUUGCCUUUUUCAAAUUUUAGUAAGCCCCAAAAUUACACCACUGAAAUUAAGCAACCAAACUCAGUAAAGGGAUACGUUCAAAAUGCAGAUAUUACCUUAUUACAUCCAAACAAAACGUAUGAAAUAUCAUGUUUAUGGGAAUUCCUAGAUUAGUGUGAAUAGUCCCAAGAGGAGCAACAAUAUCACCAACAUCCUCCCCGGAAGGCCGAAACAUGGCCCUUAUAGAUUUGGGAUAACACAACAAACCUACAGAUGCAAAGCAUGACAGUGAAACUUUGCUCAUAUGUCAGCUUAUUAGUGCAACCAGAAAACCAUAAUGCUUUUAGAAAAUAUUGGUCACUUGGAAAAAUAAAUAAACACAGAUUCUAGAGUACUAAGUGACAAUGUGUUACCGGUAUUAUGAGCAGCUCUGCAGAAAUCAAAGUUCAGUUCUCACAAACUCAGCUUCAUAUUUCAGUCUAUUUGUUGUUCACCUUUAACCCCACUUCAGGUGGGUUUCAUUCUCAUGCUUCAUGAUAGCAUAAGCAGCAAGUAUACAGUACCUUAGUCUUAAAAAAACAUAUAAUUUUCUUCCCUGUUACAUUGUGUCGUCAGUGGUGUUCCCCAUAUAAUUGACAUAUAUUCUUUGAACAUUCUAAAAGAAAAAAGGGGAUCAAACUUGUUACACACAUGUUCCCCAAAUAAUUGACUUUCUCCUCUAUCAAAAUCUAUUUGACAGAGAGAAUGGGUUAAAAUUCAGAUAUAUUGCCAGACUUACAGUUGUACAUAAUUGAAGUUAAGAACAAAGCAUUUCAAAAAUAAGAAACAAGGGAAUAUGAAACAUAUGAAAUUUGUAAACAAAGAAUGAGCAAAACAACAAAACAUGUGCAUCCAAAACUUAUUUAUUCCUACUUACUACUUACAUGAAUUAUAUUCUGAGUCUUCUGAGUGAGUUCCAGGUACCAAUGAGCCAAAUGGAAUCACGAUCAAAUUCGUUAGCAAGUGAUUGACGAACCGCCUAUGAUUUAUCGAAAUUAUGUCCAAUUAUGCUAUCUCAGAUAAGCAUCAACAUAAAAAUUUCCUACAACAACCUUCAUUUAUAUUAAAAGAUCAUGCAUUUUACUUGACGCUCUUUUACCAAAAUAUUGCAGUAAUCAAGUCAUGACCCAAAGAUUUCCGCACAUUUUACGGACUACAAAAUUAUAAAUCACCACAUGAAUUUAUUUUGUUUCAAAAUACCGCGCCAGAUUGCCAGAAGACCAUGAGUAAGAAAGAAGUGUCUACUCUUGGCAAAAGUCUAAACUACUCCUAAGUGCCCAUCGAUGGAAGGAAAUCUCAAUCAAUACAGGGGCACAUUGAGGAGUAAGACGGAGAGAGGUAUGGAUAGGGUUAGUUACCUUGAGGUGCUGGAUGCCGAACGAGUGGUCCAUGAGGGCCAGGGGAGAGUAUCCGGCGAUGGAGAUCGCCUGCGCAAGGGACGCCGAUGACUGUCAGCAGCAUGGUGCUGCCCCCGCCAAGCGCAGCCUCAACGGUGGCCAACAGGCGGCGGCGGCCAUCGUCUUCAUCAUCCGCCGCUGCUUCAUGUGUGAGGAAGAGGAACGGCGGAGGGCGCCUGCGCAAGGGACGCCGAUGACUGUCGGCAGCAUGGUGCCGCCCCCGCCAAGCGCGGCCUCAACGGUGGCCAACAGGCGGCGACGGCCGUCGUCUUCAUCGUCCGCAAUUGCUUCAUGUGUGAGGAAGAGGAAUGGCGGAGGGCGCCCACGCGGGAGACACUGAUGACGUCGAGCGCCCCGGUGCCGCCCCCGUCGAGCGCGGCCUCGGCGGGGGCCAACUGGCAGUGGAGGCCGCCAUCGUCAUCCGCCGUUGUGUCGUGCGAGAGGAGGGGCGCUGGUGACGAGACGUCUCUGGAGUAGGGGAUGGGAUGGGGACGAUGGCGGAUCUGGAGGGCUAGAAAGGAGGAGGUGGAUCGAGAGAACGGAAAGAACGGGUGCGUGGAGAACGGUGGAACGUGGUGCGGGAGAGAGGAGCUAAUUACGGCCGUGAUUGAUUGUUGGAUUGUUUUUUUUUUAGGGUUCAGAUAGGGAUGGUUUUCUUGGGGUGCGGGGAUCGGACGGGUGGGACGAGUGCGACGGAUGAACGUACGUACCAAACUCGAAAUUAAGUAGUAGUAAAGAUAGGGUGCUAAAUUAGGCAUUUGCAAUGACAGGUGACAGUUCACGUGGGUGCCAUGCUUUCCUUUUCCGUGACAAAUAGUACUCCCUCUGAUUCUAAAUUCUUGACUCAAAUUUGUCAAAAUAUGGAUGUAUCUAUUCUUAAAAAACGUCUACAUACACGUAAUAUUUUGACAAUAAUUUAGUAUUGGAGGGAGUAGUAUGUAUGUAAGGUUCGUGCUAACCUACAUGUUGACCCUACAAGCAAUUUUUUCUUUGAAAGCAUGCCAAAAUGCCAAAUUAGUCCUUAAAAAAAAGCUAGCCAAAUUAAAGCAUCCGGUUUUGUUCCUCAUCGUUCAUUUCCCUCCCUCCCUCCUUCCCUCCCACCCAUGUUGUCGUACAAUUGUUUUUUUUAACGGGUAAGGCUUCUCAUUUCUCAAAUAAUAGUACAAUUGGGUUUACCUGCCAUUUGCUGCCCAGCCACUAAUUGGUGCUUAUCUUCACGCCUUGUCGCCCCCUUGCAAUGGCAUUCAUCGGUUGGUUAAAAAGGGAAAAACAAGUUUGCAGCACCGGUACAUUUGUACAUCCUUUUCUAUCCACGCAACCACGCGAGGCCGGACGACACGUGCUGAUGCGACUGACGGGAAAGCUGGUUUGGACGGAUGAGCAGAGAGAGAGAACCCGCGCUCGAGCCGCACGUCGGUUUCUUCUUGCAGGAUAAACAUUGCACGUACCAAACGAGCAAAAAUAAGGAACCGGGUGCCAUAUAUAUCCACUCGAUCGGCUCGGACUUUGUCGCCGCCGCCGCGGCUGCUGCUCCUGGCGUCCCGCAGACAGAUUCCCACGAGCCUUGGGCUUCAUCACACGGAUGCCUGUUACCACUCGAUCGACCAGCCCAAAUAGUCUAGCCGUCCGGACUUCGCGUGCGUGCUGCUCAUAUAAUUGUUGGUUGCGUGGGGGCAAUUAUUGACGUACGUGUAGGCGCGCGUACUAGGAUUAAUCUAUCGACGACCACCGUCAUUCACGAGGUCCGGUCGCGUUUGCUAUCGAGCCCAGGCUCCUAGCUAGUUCGACCGGAUAAGGCCGUUCCCGAAUCUAGUCUCAGUGGCAGUAGAAGAACAGUAGCAGCAUUCUGGUGUGUUCUCUGCCAUUGCUCAUGGGGAAAUAGCGGUGUGGUUGAUCUGGUGGAUUUUUGUGCGGAACCCGACAAGCAUGCAUAUUAAAUGGCUUAAAUUUGUCAAAUAAAUAUAAAUGCAUCUGAAACCAAAACGGGACGGAGGAAGUACCAGUAGUAUAAAAGAACUGUGCACAUAAUGCAUGGACGAUGAAAUGGCCUCACAUGGCGAUCGACCGCGCGCGCUUAGGGCGCCGGCACACGUAGAAGAGAGCCUCGUGCUCGCGCGCGAGCUGAGCAUAUAGCACGUACGGUCCGAGCGGCGUCCCGGGCGGGGAUCUGCAGCCUAGGCCUGUCCGGGGCGCCGUCGCAUCGGUCGAUCCAUCGAUGGCGGGACACGGGACACACUGCACACAGCACGAACACGUGCGUGCAUGCGCUAGCUGCAUAUGCCAAAUCUGGUCUCGGUUCACGUUGGUACGUACGCGCUCGAUUGAUCGAUCGAUGGACAACUGACGUAUCGAUUCGAUACGUCAGGGAGGGCUACGUACGGAAAGCUAUAGCUAGCGGGGCCGCCAGAAUCGAGCAGGGGCUCGAUCGAUUCAGAUUCGAUUCGAUCUGGGGUCGAGAAAUAUGUGUGUGACUAGCUGCUGCUAUACGCACGUGCAUAAUACUACUGGUAUGCUACACUUCUCGUUAACUAAGAUGAUCUAUCAGCCGGAGGUGGCCCGUUAAAUUGAAGAGAGGGAGAGAGAAACGUUCAAACUGAAAGGAAAAAAUGGUGUAACUAUUUUCAAACAAAGGUAUUAAAUGUCGAUGGACAUGUCAGAGACAUCGGAUCAAGAUCCGAGGGUCAUCCACACUUUCCCCUCCGUAACGUGUUAUCGCUGGAUUAAAAUCUGACGACCAACAGGGGCGGAGUUACAGCGUAGACAUUGGGUUCAGAUGAGGAAUUGGAUCCGAGCCUACACAUAUGAACCCCAUGAUUAUAGUGUAAUGAACCCAGUGGUUUCCUUUUCUGGCUCCACCCGUGACGACCAAUCACGUCGACUUGUCUCUAACUAAAAAAAUACAGACGACUUCUUAAUAGCAAAACAUGAAAAAGGAAUAUAAUGUCUCUGUAAAAUAUAGAAAGACGUGGUUCUCCGUUAAGAUGUUGUGGUUAUUUCUCUUCUGUCAGUUGACCAUUUUUGUCCCCGUCUGAUCCAGCGCCGCUCCGUUACCGUACCAUGUUUUUUCACGUCAUUAUCCGUCCGUAUUCCUUAUUUGUUUUUGCAUUCAUAUCAUGUCCGUGCCGCUUCCAAACCAAUGGAAAUUGUGAAAUAAAAUAUGGUACUAUAUAAAAUCAUUAUCCGGUCCCGUUUUACAUAUAUGCUAUAUUCCUCAAGUAUGUACAUCGAUCGCGGUCUUGUAUGAUUCAAAAACAAAAACGAAAUAUCAGUAGAGAGCAAGCGUACAUGCACACGCAGGAUAUGCUUUCGUUGGUUAAUUCGGUGUACGUACGGACCACCGCGAUGUCUCUGCGCCCGUCGACGUCACACACGCUUACGUGAGUGCGUGCGUACAGUCGGUGAUUAAUCGAUCCGGAAACGUGCCAAUAUAGUCUGCAGCCGCGCCGGCUUUUUAUACUCCCUGCAAUCAAUGCACCCGGCCCUCUCGUUUCGGCCGAAAACUGCAUACCACGCUCGAUCGAAUCAUCCAAGUAUACAGAUACACACAUGCUUCUCGAUGACUCGAUCGAUGGACUUACGGUAUAAUCGUACAGUAGUUGCUUUCGCUUCCAGACGUAGGUACACGGAACGACGAACCGGGAAAAACGGCCCUCCUGCUCCUGGCUUGGAAUCAUUCCACCUCUGGUGGAAAUCCUGGACCACCCGUACGUCCAUAUGCUCCCUUGCGAGUUGCAGACACGUUAUACGUACUCAUGUAAUCGCUCCGUUUCAUAAAAAUUGACACGAUUUUAAAUCAGAACUAAGUUAAAAUCAUGUCAAUCUUCGUGAAACGGAGGAAGUACCUGACAGGAAUGCAUGCAGGGAUCAGGCACUCCAGUUUGGAGUUGGAACGGGGCACACAUGUGGAAAAAGUUUCGAACUAACAAGGUGGCGACUGCGACCAAAGCCAGAACCAUUUUUUGUCGAGCACGAUCGAUCGACCUGCAGCGCCAGAGCCACUAGAGGGCCCAGAUCAGCUUGCCCCGCCCCAAUUCCAUGCGUUCCGGUUGUUUCCUUUCGAGCCCCCUGCCCCAGUUGCCUGCCCUUUUAUCUCUCAGCGAUCAGUUACGUUCAUGCAUUCUUGGCCACACGUACCUACACUACAAUCGGUACUACUACGUACAUGCGAGAUAGCUAUGUCCCGAUCGAGCCUGCAAUUAACGGCAACUCGACCGAUCAAUCUGCAAGUAGAGACAGUAAUCUCGAAUUUGGUUCAAAAGCAGGCAGCGAAUCCUGGAACGACCAAGUUACACGGUACUCCUAUGUAAGCUAGUACUAGUACAACUAGUAGCAUGCCACCGGUGGAUCACUCACCUGGGGAUACAAAACCGUUCUCCUUCGAUUAGAGUCGUCUGCAUUAUUGACAGUUUCGAUGGACCAGGCAGACAGAAGCAAAGCCUGGAUGCGCGCGGGAUCCACUUGUCCAGCAAAAGGGCACGAAUCGGGGAGGUCACAGGACUUAAACAUACGAUAGGCCACGCGAGCCAAAGGCGUGCCGUACUGUGCUGCCCCUGCCUGGCCUGUCGUGUGAUGUGACAGAAAAAAAUUAAAGGGAGCGGCGAACCUGCGUUUCAUGAUCAUUGAUAGAUGGAUGGGUGGAUCGAGCUAGUAUUAAGCUGGUUGUGGUGUGUGUGUGUGGAGGGGGGUCUGUCUUUGAAAAGUCGACGCUGCAUGCGGACGUUCAGUUUCAAGUGGCGUGCAAGAUGUUCCUAGUGAAAAUGUGAAAUCAUGGGGGAAAUAGGCGAAGUUUGCAGGGUUGAACGGCACACCGCGUUUGGCUGACGGCUCUAUGCGCGGAUAUGAUGUUUUCUUUUUAACGAAUAUUCUGAUAUUUUUCAAUACCAAAACCGUAUUCGGAGUUAGCUGGCGUCUGAAUUUUAAACAGAAGACUUAAAUCUCCGGACUCUUGAAUUAAGAUCUAAGUGUCAUCCCCACUCUCUCUUCUCCCGCAUGCUGUUGUUGGAUUAAGAUCCAAUGUUCAAACACGUCAGCUGAUCGCUAACUAAGAAACAAGCGACUUCUUAAUAGCAAACCGUUUUCUGAAUCCCCACAUUCGAUAAUAAAAUUCCACCGGGAACCUACCAUGCUGUAUGCAGAUAUCGACCUUCUUUUUUUGGAUUGUGAUAAGUGUAUUUUCAUAGUUUAAAUAUUGUUCACGGUGCAAAUUCCGCCCUUGCGUGGCGGGUUAUUGGACAUUCAACUGUGGAUACCGAGCUUAGCAAAUUUUUGUCGAACUCUUUUUGGAAUGGAAUGGAUUAAUACAAUUUGACUAAGAGUCAUCAUUUUUAUGGUUUAGGGUGGUGGCUGCACCCCAAAACCUACCAAGGAUCGAACCCCAGGUUUGACCCUCGGCGUGUCUCAUUUGAGCCGAAUUUCUUUUGGCAGUAGGAGAUGCAAUCCGUUCACGCUUCACACUGAAGCGUCAGUGACUUCGUCGAUCUCAAAACGUUUUCACGAUUCUGGUCAUCCGUGUGAGUGUGUGCGCACGGCGGUGUACGUCGUGUGUGAUCAUUGUUCCUAAAAUAAAGUACUUCCUUCGUCUAACAAAGGAUGUCUGAAUUUUGAUUAAAUUUGAAUGCAUCUAUACAUCAAGUCAUGUCUACAUACAUCAACAUUUUGACAAACUUGAGACAUCUUUUGCUGGACGGUGAAAGUAUAGGAGCCCGGGAAUAGCCGCAUCUUAUUACAAGCAAUUAAUAUUUCGACCCUGAACCAGUUUGAGCUUAACCCCAGUGGAUCGGAAUCGGGUUCACUGAGCGAGCGAGCGCUCCAUUACAGAUUUUUACAGGCACUGAGGCACCGUCUCUUCCUGCUGCCCCCCUCCGGGGAGCUAGCUGCGUGCUAUGGACCGCCCAUUCGUGGAACGGGCUGUACCCACCAAUACCUACGUACCUGCGCGCCUGCCAUGCCACCCCUCUGCCACGGGGGGCUGUCGGCUCCAAAGAAUCAUGCAAUAAUUACCAGCUUCUUCUAUCGGCGGCAUACAGAGGAGAGGAUUGAGCUUUUGAGCAUCUCGUGUGCAGAGAGAAUCUCUCUGCCCGUUCGCGCCAGGUGGAUGUAUUUACUUGCGCCAGGAGCAAACGAGCAACUCGUGACCGCCUACGCACGUUUCCCCGACUAGACAAGUCAAUUGGUGAAAAUUGGUGAAAUUGGCAGCUAGCUUAUUUAUCCCUUUAUCCAUUCGCACCCACCCCACCCCGGCCACCCUCCGCGCUGCGCAUGCAUGCAUGUCCUCGUGGGCUCUCGAGGACUUGAAGUACGUACGUCGCAUGCAUGCAGAUAAGACGGAGCUAGAGAGAAAGCCUCUUCUUUUCGCUCGUGGCCCGGCAUGUGCAUGCCAAUGGCAAUGCCAGCGUCCCAGUCAGCUACUCUCUCCGUUCCAAAUUCUUGCCUCAAAUUUAUCCAAAAAUAAAUAUAUUUAUUUUUUAAAAACGUUUAUAUACAUGUAAUAGUCCGACAAAAAUUAUGAAACGGAAGGAAUACUGACCAUAGCUAUGGUCAGUACAACUCCUAGUGACAAGUGCAAGCAGGGGAAGUUCAUACUCUAUGUGGGAGGUGCAAUGCAUCUCUCGCUCUAAAGACGUGGUACUCCUAGACUACAGGACUACCACGUACUGGAUUCAUCGAGAUGUGAUGGAACGGUGUACCAGGGUGCGUGGCAUGCAUGUAGACGCCGGGCCGAUCGAUGUAUGUCGAGAGCGGGAUAUGGACAACGAAAAAGGGUGUGGGCAGGGUAGGUGUUCGAUCAAAAUCCACGGACAGUUCCAAACUGAGGAGACCAUGGGGAAACUACUGGACAUCGGGGGUAUAGUGUUCACGUGACGUCAGAACUGGGGAGAGCUACACAACCUCAAGUCGUCGUCUUCUGGUAAGCAAGAGGACCCUUGUUUGGGAGCGCAAUGCAAGUGCAGAUGUUGUGCAGGCGCAGCAGAGACGUGACCCUUGCAGAAGAAAACGCGAAGAGCCGGGUAUAGUGGAUAUGUGGAUGCGUGAAUUAUCGUGGGCCGGGCCGCUUCAAAGCCUGGUAACGCGUGUCGUCGUGGCCUGGCCCAGAUUAUGCUGCUCAUCCGUCCAGCUCGCAAUACAUGAAGAGAAGUUCAAAAACCCGCUGUCCACUUUUGCAUUUAUCCAACGUUUCCUUGAUGAUUUGUCUCUCAUUCGUGAUGUUGUCCAUGCUGUGACACCGGAGCCUCCUCCUGGUGGUGGUCGCCUUGUCCCGCCCACCAACCGCUGGUCUCCUCCGUCGGCUGGUAUGUGUAAAAUUAAUGCGGAUGCUGGAGUUGCAAGGUCAGGUGCAGGUGGUUCUUGUGCUGCGGUCUGUCGCGAUGAAUGUGGAAGAUUCAUGAGAGCCUCUUCGAUUACAAUCGAGGGCAUGACCGACCCUACAAUACUUGAAGCAUUGGCAUGUAAUGAAGGCUUGUCUCUGGCCUUGGACCUUAACAUCUCAAAAGUUUGUGUUGUUUCGUACUGCUUAACGGUUAUCAAGAGUCUACAACAAGAUGAUCUUUGCUAUUAUAGUGCGAUCAUUAAGGAUAUUGUGGCAAGGAAGGAUCAGUUCCGUGAUGCUGUUUUCAGACGUGAGAAGAGAACUCUUUAUAGAGAUGCUCAUAAUCUAGUUAGAGCGGAGUUACCGCUUUCUGUUGGCCAUCAUAUUUGGCUUUUAAGUACCCCAUGCAUUACUUGUAUUCCUGUUCAAGUUGGUGUUGAAUAAAGCUGGCCUUUCCCCUAAAAAUAAAAUAUCCGUCCAGCAGAACUGAAUCCCCAAUAGCGCGGUUACAAGACAAGAAUGAUUAUGUAAUUAUGUUCCUUGUUAUCGUUUCACUUUGCACCACAGAAAGAGUGCUCUGUUUGGCUCCACCAAGGCAAAAGGAAAGAGAAACAGGAACCGAGGAGUGUCUCAUUGUCAAUUACUAAUUCAGCCAACGAACCCAUAAAACAUGUACCGACGCAAAUGCAAUUCAUCAGAAGUGUUCUUCAAGGAAGAACACAGACAGGGUAUCGGACUACCGGUGACUAUGUUUGGAUAUCUUACAUGCUCAGAAUGCUGCGGGCGAGUUAACUGGGAAAUAAUUGAAGAUGAAGAAAGGACACAGCAAGUUACAUAAGCGGCAACAGAUUUUGCUAGAGUGGCACAGCAGUGGCAGGUGCUGGAACAUGCACCUCAAAUACAAUCAGGAACUCGAACUGUUUAUAGCUUUGGACACUUUCUUCCAUCGCAAAACACUUCGAGUUUGUUCUUAUCAAGCAAAUGGUUUUCGAUUAGGCCCAGAUAUGACAUGGUGUUAUUACAUGCAUAACAGCGCUGGCUUGUCAAGCACCACUGGCAUACAGGCGAGUCCACUCCUUCGCUGCAAAGCAAAAAAAAAAUUGACAUGUUAGGUACAAAAAGCAAUGAAAAGUGGAGCAAAAUGACAUGCUAGUGUAUCAAAGUGCAGUGUUAGCGUGCGGCUUUGUUGGCUGAAUUUUCAGUUACCUGUCUCGACAGCUUCAGCUUCAUUGGAUUUCCAGUGUUUUGCCACGUUUUCUGAGAGCGGAUCAUCUGGAUUCGGAGCGCUCAGCAGUGCCUGAAUGCUGCAGACCAAACAUUGUAAAGAGGCAAAAAAAAAAGAGUAUACAAUAGUGGAUACAAGAAGCAACCCUCUGGAAAUACGAUAAUAUGAUACGAUCAUGAACUAUAAUGAAACUAUUUGGCCAAACAUGCCACGGAAGACAGAAGAGGUUGCUACCUCAAAAGAACAGUACGUAUCUGAAGAGCUGGGCUCCAUUUGUCCUUCAGGAUAUCGAGGCAUAUCCUACCAAGCUGCAGUGCAAGUCAAUCCGAAAUGAGAAACUGUUAUCGAAUGAAGUUCCAUUGAGAAUAUCAGUUCCCUACCUUGUCAAUGUUGGGAUGGUAUAUUUUUGUGAGAAACCUAACCUGCGUCAGGAAUAACCAAAGAGUGAUGUCCAUCAGAAAGAAUCACAACAGAGACAACAUACAGAAAAGUCAAAUAGAAUUGUGUAACUACUUUGGUUAGACGACAGUGUCACACUAAAACUAAAACAACCAUGUUGAUAUCCGUAAGAGUAAAACAGUCCAAGGACAGGAGUUGAGAACAAAAUAUUCAGCUACCUCUUAUUUAACAUGAUGGAAAUUACUACUCCCUCCGAUCCAUAUUAAUUGUCGAAAUAUUACAUGUAUCUAGACAAUUUUUUAGCCAUAGAUACAUCCAUAUUUGGGCAAAUUUGAGACAAUUAAUAUGGAUCGGAGGGAGUAUUAGUCUGAGUCUCAGAUGAUAUAUCACAAUGUCAGUACACUCCAAAUAUAGCAUUGCCAAUUAAGUAAAGUAAAGUACGGAACUGUGCAAAGGAGAUUAGUUAAGUGAACGGAGAGAGAAAUCUAGUAUGGAUACGAAAAGUAUUAACACAAUACUAAACAUGGGCAUUCAGUAUUCCUGAUCACAAAGAUGGUAUGCAAAUCUAUUAAUGGUACAUAUCAACAACAAACAUGGGCGCUGCCCAAAAUAAGAUGUCACAAUAAAUUGCUGGUUUCGGUUAACCACAGGCAUAAUUAAACGUCCAUCCCACUGUCGCACCAUAGCAUGAUAAAAUCAUUGCGAAGAUCGCUCUGCCAGAUUUUGAACUCAAAUUUCAGUUACAACUUACAACUAGGAAAUGAACCAAAUUCCACAUCAAGGAGCCUACCGGGACAAGAAAAUCCAUCACAAUAUGUGUCAAACUAAUAACUUCUUAAACAACCAUCCACUAAUACUUGAUCAAAAAAUUACUUUUGGAGCAGCCAUCGGAUAUUCCUCAGGUAAGAAAAGUUCAAGCUUGAAAACUCCACCUGUCCAACACAUAUUAGAAGAAAUAUCAGGAGGACCAGACACAGACAACUAAACAAAAUAAUGUUUCACCCAAUUAAAAAUGUCAUAAGCAAAUACAGUAUACAAAGAUAAGUAAACCAAGCUUAAAUAAAUAAGAUAACAUAGUGACAAAUGUACUGUCUAACAAUAGGAAAACAGGUCGUUCUGUGUACCAUUUAUCAUAUACAUGCACCGCAUUUCAUUACUCCAUGUUGCAUGGAAACAUGGUAGAUAGUUCCUUGUGCCGUAUAUCAGUAAACUUCAGUAAUCGCAAAGGUUAAGGAAACCCAAGACAUUCAAUUCCCAUAGGUUACUGAUAUAUGGUACAGUUGUAGAUCUAGCAUGUUAAGGAAACUACAAACUUGUGCCCCAUAUCAUAUCUAAACUAAUAGCAGGUAUAACUGUUGAAGUAUAAGGUGAAUUGCCCUCAUUUCUCCAUCAGCUUAGGCUUUUAGGGGCACUGGUUCGGCCCAUAUGCAACUCUCCAUGGUAUCCGAGCCAAGAGGUCCCGAGUUCAAGCUCAAUAUAAUAAAAAGGCACUUUUGAUCCAUGAGGGGGAGUGUUGAAGUACGAAAUGAAUUGCACUCGUUUCCCCAUCAGCUUAGACUUUUGGGUGAACUGGUUCGGCACAAGCAACUCUACAAAAGGCAGUCUUCCUAUGUGGAAUAACUUCUACAAAUAAAAAACCAGGUUCACUAGAGCUUAAGAUAACCGAUGAAAUGGACUUGUCAAGCUAUAUUUUGUGAUGGAUUCAACAAAGCAGAAUCUCAAAGUAUAGAAUCCAAAAGGCACAGAAGAGUACAAUUACCACUGGAACAGCUGGGUACAAGAUGGUCGGAUUGCUGGUCUAGCAAACAUAAGUUUAGAAGUGUAUAGUUCCGGCAGCACUAGAACAACACCUUUAUGUGACCAUCCUGAUAUGAUCAUCCAUCUGUGAUGUUUUACUACAUAUUUGCAGCAUUUUACAAACAAAAAGAGCCAUAGAUACGAAAAUGGGGACGCGGUGACCACAGUUACAGUCCUAAAUUGCCACAGAACUACGCAUUCGUGCUCCAAAGUAUUACAGGGUUAUCGGCAUACGAAACAUUCCAACAGAAAUAAAAUGAAAAGGAGGUUUUACCUUCAUAAGGAGACUGCGCCGGACCAAGGACCAUGACAUUGAAGUAGCGCAUGUUCUCCUCCGACGGCGACGCGCUAAUCCCCGGCGCUGCACGCACCCCCCCAACACACGAAUCAGCACAAACAUCCGAGGCUCGAACGCGGACAACACAACAGGAGCAUCGAAUUCUAGGAAAACGAACCUGGUUCGCUGAGCAGCCGCUGCGUCUCCUGCAGCAGAUCCAAAUUCCGAACAGAUUAGGCACCACGCACAAGGAAUAACCAGACGAUAAGGUUAUCAUAUCGCGUUAGAGUCUCAGAAACGGCUGUAGAUCUGGGGGGGUGAGGGGCGAUCGGAUCGCGGGGUAGGGCGCGCGCACCUUGAUGAUCCGGCGCGGGAGGUUGCUGUUGGCCAUGGAGUCCGGCCGGGGCUGGAGCGAGAGCCUAGAGGGGAGGGGGGGAGGGACCGCCUCGAGCUUCGCGCGGCGACGGAGGAGAAGACAGCGCGAGAGAGGUCAAAGGAGUCGUCGAUCUGUCGGGGAGGGCGAGCCGGGGGAGGAGGCGACGAACGAACAGAAAUGGGUCAGGGUCCGAUACUGUGUACCACGUAUUUAUAAACUCCACGCUACAGCCGCUGCUGCUGAUAUUUUCCUUUUCCUCUUGAGCUGGUGUUUUCGUUUUAUACUCUACCGACCUGUUUGUUUGUCCUUCUAUUUCAGUUUUUUUGCAUCUGGCAAUCUUAAAAGCAUCUUUUCUGUUUACACGUGAAGCUGAGAGGCACCUCCGAACAUGCUAAACACUGUUUACACAUGAAGCUGAGAAGCACCUUCGGACGUGCUAAACAGAAAAAGUGCUUUUGAGAUUGCUAAAAGUACCAAAAACUGAAACAGAAGUCCAAACAAAUAGGCCCAGAGUCUGCUGGAUUGUGAAUUUGAAUACGCACACGGCGAAAUCAAAAUACGAAGUCAUGGCCACUAUGUUUAAAAUAAAAUUCGUGUACUUGGACAAAACAGAAGUUGUUCGGUGAAUAAAAAAACCCUAGAAAUGAUUUUCCGACGUAAUAAACGGUAUAAUAGUACUACUAGUAGUACGAGGGCUGCUGCAGCGGAGAUUAAAAAAAAACGGUGUUCGUUUUAGGUGAGCCAGGGAGAGCAUCUCUCCACGCGAAGGGAGCACACAAUUUAUGCAUGUGCAGAGAGAGAGAGCACGGAGAAGAACAACCUUUGGGUUUGCCUAAUUGCAACGGCCAACUUGUGACUUUGUGUUGUGCGCGCUCGUCGUGGAAGGAUCUCAGGCGAAAAGGAAGGUGGGGGAAAGCUCGAUUAUUCUCCGCAGCUUCAAUCCCACGCUAAGCCGCCUGGUCGAAAAGGUUUGGCUGGCCAAACCGGUUUUGCAUGGUACUCCGUAACAUGUUUUUCAAGUUUUUUAGAACUUUGGAGGAACUCGAAACAAAUUGAGAGCAUACGCUUUCUAAGAGUUGAAAAGUAUUAUUUUCGAAGCACGGGCAGUCGGGCACGGGCAUCAGAGCAUCUCCGUUGCCAGUCGCUCGAAGCGAAGAGAAAUCACGCACUUCCUCUGCUACCGAAGCGAAGGCAGGAACAAGAACAACAGCGACGAGACACAGCCAGAAAUUCGGCAUAGUAUUUGCUCAGGGCUAGAUUCCACUGUAUUCGCUGUAAUCUGGUAAAGCAUGUCGCAUGUGCCCAGACUACAGGAGGAUUUCAAGACAAGUAUCCAGUCCUGUCUUAUUUACAACAGAUAGCGUGCAAAACUAUGCUCAAGAAUCAAGAUAGAUAAAUAACACUGGAUUUCCCCAGUACUUGCUACUUCACCGAACUACGGAGUACAACUGGUAAAGAAUAGUUUCACAAGUCGGAUCCUGAGAUCACAAUGAAAGAGAAGAUACAACAGGGAGUAUUAAAUCUGCACAUGAUCACAAGGAAAUCCAGAUGCACAUGAAUCCAGACAAUAGGAAGAACAGGGAACAGUUUGACAUAUUUUUUCUAAUAAAACAGAAGGUCAGAGUUGCAUGCCUACAUUGUCAACAAAAUAAUAGAUGAAUUGCACGAACAUACCUCAACGACUCAAUGUCAACAUGGAUUUACACUAACAAUUUUUAGUCUUUGACCUUUCAUACUCUUCAGAAUUAAUUAUUACCAGACUAAAAACUACAAUGCACCUAAGAACACGAGCUUUCGCUUCAGAAUAUCCCAAGGAUGGUGGGGGCAGGUGGAGCACGCCAUCAUUGGAGAGCAAGAGCAACGCCAUGUCAUUAACUGAUCAUCUUCAAAUGAUAAUCUGUAGAAGAGACAAUGGACAAGAGUCAAUUGAUCGCUUCACCAAACAGUAACAUUACAAAUUUGCUAUACAGGCUCCAAACAAACUGAUUUUCUAUCAGUCUACGCUUAAACAUAGCAGUUAACAGGGGCAAAGCUUAACACAGGCCCAUCAGCAAUCAUGCAGAGAACAAGGCAAGGCAGAUCAUCCAUGGGAAUCACACAACAAUCCACAAGGAAGCAUGCAUUACAUUCUUUGGAAAGCCAAUCAAGAGAAAUCUGGGUUCAGCGAUCGGAAAGAUUUACAAUGGAUAAGAUAUGUCAAAAUUUCAGUACUGGAAACUUCAGUUACAAAGCAAUUUGAUAAAUCUUACAUGCCAAGACAAGUAUAGAAGAUAUAUCUUUAUAUAAUAAUACUGACUCGUAAUUGUUAGGCUUACAGCAAAAAAAAGGUUAAGUUUCAUUAAACAAGCUUAUUUAUCGGUCUCUGAGGAGCUGGGUUACCUGUAGAUAAAUGGGACCAGAAACUAAGAGGUUACCUGUUGACUCAAGCUUAUGCUUAUUUUGGCGAUACACGUACUCUUAGGCUGGACAUAAUUCACCCUAACGAUUCUCACUAAGACAUGAGAAAGGAAUUCUAGUACGGAAAGGAAGUGAAAACCAGCGCAUGUGCAUCCAAGUGACUCCUAGUGAAACAGCACAGAGAGUGUCCCAGAUCGAUUUUAACUCUGAGUCACCAAGUGGUUCGUCGGUAUCAAUUUGAUCCUAACAGAUUCCAGGCAAUACCAUCAUAUGUCACCCAGUCAUGAUUUCCAGGAAAAGAAUAUAAGUAUUUUCAUCAUACAGACAGAAUUGAAGAAAAACUAUUAUUAGACCAUACAUUAUGGUCUUUCAUUUGUCAUGACAAAAAUGUACUCCCUCCGAUCCAUAAAAGGUGACGCCCAUUUUGUACUAAGUUAGCACAAAUUUUGUACUAGGUGGGCGACACAUUUUAUGGAUCGGAGGGAGUAAUAAGAAACACUAAAAGCUCAAGAUAGAAACUAUGAUUAGUUAGUUCAAUCUUUUAAUAACACCUAUGACAUAACAGAGCUGCACAAUUAUAAUUCUGUAAAUUUUAUCACACCCAAAAACCCAGAGAACCAAACGAUAAGAUACAUAAGUACUUAAAUCUACAAUCAUAACGAGAUGGUCAACAUAUCUCAUCAAUGCACAAAAUUAAAUAGAAAAACACACGACGAAAACAUCCACCAAACAUUAUCUACUGAAGACACAAAAUAUAAAUAGAAUCUCACAAAGCCUACACCAGGAUAGAUCUUAUAUGUGAAUAUCAAUGCUCAACAGGACCGAAAGCCUUAUUUAUGAAGGUUAUCGCACAUUUGGGCUAAGGCCAUUGUAACAUAAAAUAGUCCAAAAUGCACAACAUAUGGGGUGGUCGGACUUCGGCAACGAAACUUCAGACAUACUCGCUAGAUUUUCCGAAGCAACAGUAUCUAAACUUUUUUGUUGCUAAUCCUCCGCAGCAACUCGAGCCAAUUGUUUACCAAGAUCCUUAUCGAGAUUAGCUAGAUUAUUAAACCUUGACUGUAGAUAAACGGACAUGUAUGUAACAUAUUGCUCAGAACAAUCAAGUCGGGCUCACCCAAGCUUGUUUACACCCAUAUGAAGGAAAGGCUUAUUGAAUUGCAUUGUCAGGAAAUCAGCACUUCCCCAAACAAACUGAAAGUACCUUUAUUCCACAACCUAUAAACAUCAAUGGAUAUACUCAGAACACAACAGCUUACAUGUGUGGACCUUCCCACCAUUAAGGCCAAACAUAGUAACAAUAAGUUCCACUUAUUAAAAUGUCAUUGUAUACAAGAAUGUCAGAUUAAAUUAUGCCUCUACACAAGCAUACCAAUCCUGUCACUAUCACUGAAAGUCUGAAACAUUAACUAACAGCCAACAUCAUGCCACAUAACUUGUAAUUUUAGCACAUCAACAUUAGCAUUACAGAAACAAUAGUAGCCACAGAUCACAUAAACGAACAAAAACAAUCUACAGCAAUGUUCUAAACUGAAAUGCUAAAACAUACUUUACCUAAAACCCUCGUCCGCAUCAGAGGUAAUUGGAGUUGGAAAGGAAAGGCAGCGCAGCAACGGAUGAAAUCAGCUCCACUCCACCAGCACCAUUGGAUGCAGCCCCUCCGCUCUUCUUCGUGCGCUUCACCCUUGCGAGCUUCACGUGCGCAUCGACGAAGUUCUCCAUGCGCUUCACCUCCAGCUGCUUCAGGAAGUCAAUUCGCUCGCGUUCCAUCUCUAGCGAAUGCUUUUGUUUCGCACUCUCCACGCGCUCAUACAUCUCUGCAAAAGCCUCAAUUGCCCUCGCCAGCUCGCUGACACCACUAUCCCCAUCACCGCCAGCCUCGCGACGAAAGGGACGCUUGUUGCUACCGCCGGAGCGCGCCGACGAGACAGAACGCGACGGUGACCUCCGCAAGUUGUCAUGGUGGUUGUUGUUGUUGUUACCACCAGGAUGAUCACCAGAGUCCUCCGAAUCAGACACCGCUGCAGCGGCGGCAGCGGCUUCCUGCUGGAUGAACGCAGCGGCAGGGAGCAGCGCCCCGCGGCGGUAGCUGGGGAGGGGCAGAGCCAUGGGCGGGGGCGGGGACGGCGAGGAAGAAGGCGACGGGUACUUCCUCGCGGCGGUAGAAGAAGGAUGGACGGGCAGGGCGAGGUGCGGGGCCAUCGCCGGCGAGGGCCGCUUGUUGGCGGCGGAGUUGAGGGUGGGGCCGACGAGUCGGUCGAGCUCGUCGAAGAAGCUCCAGCCCGACGGCGCGCCGCGGACGCGCUCGGCCUUGUACUUCUUCUUGAGGGUGUCGACGCGGUUCUUGCACUGCACGUCGGUGCGCGGCGGGCGGCGGCGCGCGGCGGCCCCGCGGCGCGAGUUGACGGCGUUGGCCACCUCCUGCCACUGCUUCUGGCGCAGGUUGCCGCGGUUGAGCUCCACGUAGCGGCUGCCCCACGCGUCCACCAGCGCCGCCGUCUCGCCCUCGCUCCAGCAGUCCUCCCGGUAGGGCAGGUUAGGGUUGGGCGGCGGCAGCCUCCCAAACCCUCCCCCUCCUCCUCCUCCCCCUCCUCCCGCCGCCGCCGCAGCAGCAGCCGCAGCCAUCUCCCUCACCUCCAUCGGAACCAGAUCUCGCAGGAGCAAACCCUAACCCUAGCUAGCCCGCCCGCCGAGAGAAGAGGACCGAGCGAGCCUCGGGGAAGUCGCGCGUGACGGUGGGCUAUGUGAGCGGUGGGGGGUUCGGGGUUGGAAUAAAAGGACACGGCGAGGGAAGGGGGGAGGUGGGGUCGCCGGCCGCGAGGGGUCCGGGUUCCGUCCGUCACGCACGCGGCACGUGACGCGUGACCGGCGAGGGGGGGGCGGCAUCGGCAUGGCAUAUCUCGCUCGCUCUCGUGUGUCGUGGGUGACCGGAUUCGGAUCGGAGACGUGCCGCCGUUGGAUUGCGUUUGACCGGGUAACCGGCGAUUACUUUCGGGUUUCGGAGGGCGGGUGGGAUAAUGACAGCCAGCCAGGCACAGGCAAAGCAGAGCGCGGCGACAGGCGACAGCCGGAGACCGGACGGAAUACGGUGGCUGGCGCGGGGGUGGGAAAUUACCGCGUUGCCCCUACCCCGGGGAGCAGGCCGGGGCGGCACGCGGCAGGGGCAAGGCGGGGAUUUCGCGUGGGGCGGCGCGGUGUCAGGGGGUGAGCUGGUCGCCGUUGGUCGGUUUGCGUUUCGGGGCCGCCGAAAGAGGGGAGAGGAGAGAGAGAGAAACGCGCCGAGGAUGAUGGGGAAGGGAGAGGAGACUCGCGAACCGAAGACACCGCUGCUCCUCGCUCUGUACUCCAGUCUAGGCUUCUAGCUAGACUCGGCGCGGUGGAGUGGGUGGGUGAAGAGACUGAGGCGCGGGGCCCGCGUGCAAGCAGGCAGGGCGGGCAAUUAUUGUCGCCUCUGGUGCCGUCGCUCGGUACAGAGGACGGACGGACGGACGGCGUGGGCAAAAUUUAAUCGGCGUGCAGCAGGUGCCGGCUGCCGCCUGCAGGCGCCGGUCCUUCGGAUUGAUCGGUGGAUGGAUGCACUCGCCAAUGGCAAUUCAUCCAUCAAACAUCAUUCGUUACUGUAUAUUUUGUGGCAAAUCAAGAUUAGAGGUUCAUCAUCCGUUUACCGUUUUGGUUUGUCCCCUGGCGUCAUCAUCACCGUCUGGGCUUUGGAACUGACAAUAUGGUUCUUUCGGUGAAAUUCAGGUGAAAGUAAAACUCCACCGGUAGAUAGCAGCGGCCAUGGUGCCGUCGUGGGAACAGAGCAGUACGUACGUUACGGGCUCGCGUCAAAUCCUCGACGGAACCGUGCCCGCUGCACCGGUGGGUGAACAGAACACCAUAAAUCCCUCGCGGCCGUGGAGAGAAGUCAGGGGAACCGCGUGUACGUACGUGGUCCUCUCCUGCUAGCUAUAGCUAGGCUGCCCCGUGCGACCGGCGGCGAGGAAACGGCACGCUCGGGAGCCGUCAACAUUGAAUCGGAGGGCCGGGCGGCCGCGAUAGCGUAGCGACCAGCGAGAUACUCAGUCAGUACGGGCUACUUCGGGCUGUCACGCACGCACCGAGCCGGACGGCCGGGCCGACGCGUCGGGCUUGGGAACCACCGGCGCCGCAGGGGCGGGCUCGGACCGCGUCCAACGCCGCAGGCUUUGCAAAGCUUGCGUUGCGUGUACCCCACGCUACCACGCGGGUCCCCUCCACCAAUCAAUUCCAGGCCGGACGGACGGCCGGUACCGUGUACCGACGCGUCGCCCGCCGGAUCUCCGUGGCGUUUUCCUUUGCCUUUAGUUGUGUACCCGCCCCGCUUCACGCCGGCCUUGUGCGGCAGUUGUGUACACACACGCACGCACUUGUACUACUACUGGUGGCCUUGGACUUUGCUGGUUGCUGGUGCGCACCCAGCUUUUUGCGAACGGUUCCGGGAAACGCCGGCGGAAACUUGUGCGGCGGGUCGGUCGGUUGCCGGGGAAGGAAGGAUUCUUCACACAAGCAACGUGAGAUCUGACCAAGGGGAGCAGCAGCCAGCCAGCACGAGCAGCAGUUCGGCGCUGGAGCUACGCGCGAGCUGGGGCAGGAGCUACACGCCAUGUACGUUGCGUCCCCGGGCCGGUUUGAUUUACGACCGGAAGAGCCGCAGCGUUUCCGGCGCGAUGACCGGACAAAUUAGCCGGCUUGGCCGAUGGCUAUACUAUAUCGGAUUGGACAUAUGGAGUGAUAGUGCUCCCGACAGGUAGGAGACGGACGGACGAGAGCGAGUAAACUGCUGCCUGCGACUCUGCGAGUCCUGCCGUGCACGGCUCCAUGGACGGACCGCACGUCCAUGGCCUGUGUAGCUCCGACCGCACCGGACGCAGGCAAGCGGGACGUGCUGUUCAUCCUGCAGACGGGACUGACCCAAGUUAUUGGAGACGCGUCGGCAUUGAAGCCUUUUCCAUUCUCAGGAGCAUGACGUAAUCACGGGAUCACGCACGGCGUGGGCAAAAGAUUACCAGCCGCGCCGCGCGUGCCUGACUGCCUGUGCAGCUGUGCUAUUUUGAGUGCAGAAUACAGUUCUUCAGAACCGCGCCUGUUUUUUGAGGCUAACUGAACAUGCAGUUCCAUACAAUUUCAAAACUCUACGUAUAAUACGGAAGGGUAAAAGAUACUGAGGCGGUCGAGACCACUGUCGCGACACGCGAAGCCUGAAAUCGUAGCGGAUUUACUUUUUCUUUCUCUCGGGGCAACGUCCAGCAACAGCAAGUGACUGCUUGCCGGUUCAUCUGGCCGGACUGAAGGUGCAGAACUAUCUGCUUCCAUGACCAUGUCAUCUUACUGAACUGAUGUUGAUGUUGAUCGAACGGAAACUUGGUAUUAGUGCAAUUUGCAUUUGGUAGACGGGGGGUGGGAUGAAGAAGCUGCAGCGCAUUGGUCAGGGCAGCAGAUGGAAAACGCUGGAGACGGAGGUCAAAGAAGACGCGCGUAAAGGAACCGGUCAGAACAGUGACUUCCUUACUGGAUUUAGGUGACAGGCUGAAAAUUGUUUAUACUUUGGCACGUUGCCUGGGACACAGCAGUGGACAAGUUCGGUUCGGAGAAUUCUAUCCUCCAGUCAUGUUCCUUCUCGGUGAUUAACUAUCAGCUCAUCUGCCAAUCACAUGUUCUGUGGUGACAGCAGCCAGCAAAAAUAACCGAACGGAUUAGUGAUCGCCUAGAUUAUGUAGCUCAAUUUGCAUGCGUAGUUUCAAACGGUAUAAAACGAUGCCUUCGAAGAAAUGGGAGUAGUAAAAAACAUGUGGACUCGAUUUGGGCCGGGCCGCGAUAUCUUCGGUUCUCCACCCUCUUACGCGCAGCGUUUCUUCUCAGUGUCUGCUCAUCACUUGCGUUAGCUUGUAUUGUUUGCCUUCGCUUAAUAUUAGUGCCAUGUUAUCAUGGCUCCAUCGCCCAGUCGAACGCCGGCUAUCAGUUCAAAUUAUGGAUAGUCUAUUGGCUUUGAAUAAUGCGUGUCCUUGCUCUGAUUCCGUUGAGUGUCAUUCCAAGAGUAGGUAUCUAUCAGAAGAAUUUUCAGCAAAUGUCAGUGCUGCUUGAAGUCAACGAGUACUAAUCACAACAUGUGUGAACAUUUGCCAUCCUCCUGCGGUGCACUCUGACCUGCAUUGGAGAGCUGUAUUGCAGCCUGAAGGUCUUCUUCUCUAUUCUACUUCUACAUAUCUACCCACGUGUAUAUGCAGUAUCCUCCGAUGGUUUAGCCCAUGGGCAAUGCAGUUGUCUGCUUCAAUUCUUGGUGUUUCAGAACUAGUAGUACUACUAGAUAUGAUCAGUAUGCUGGGGACAGGACAGUAUGAAUGUACGAUAGAUAAGGUCCUAGAACAUGGGCCACAGGUUAUGCAGAUCGCAGACACGAGUGUUUGGCUGGAACUGAUCUCCGAAUGCGAGACUCCGAGAAACGUUGAUGCCGCUUUCUGUCGAUCACCUUGAGCCAUUGUCCGUCUGCUGGCCUGGCAGGGAAAGUCUACGGAAUGCCAUCUCGAAAGCCAUGGAAAUUCUGUUUUGCCUGACAGAACUCUGGCGUACAUGAGCAACAGCGACCGGAGCGUGGUUUGCCUGCGUGCUUGACUGUAUGGUCACGACGAACACGAGGUGGCGACCAUCCGCCGCGUUAUCCAGGACUGCACCCGUCAGAGAAGGAUCCUUCACUUUUUGGGAAUCCAAUCACUUCGGGAUCCAUCAGAGCAGAAGACACGGCCAUUUCGCCGGCGGCUUUCCCCAUACAGUGCACAUCUCGUGAACUUCCGUCCAUAUUUUCUGGCCAAAUUUGCAAAGGAUUUGUGCUUUUCAGAGUGCAGCAAACGUAGCAAUACCAGGAAACUACGGAGUAGAAUAGGAAGGAACGUACGCCUGUUUGUUCGGGCGGCAAAGUCAGAGCGACACUCUCUCUACUUUGUUUGUUCGUCAGGCCAGGACGCCCGCCAAACCCGACAUGGAUAACUCCAUUAUUGACGAUGGAAAGUAGAAAUCUGACCCCGGGGGCACUAGCAGACGACACUAUCCACAUUGUCUUCACACACCGAGAAUAUGACAAAAUAACAUGCAUUCUUAAUUCACCUAUCGUCCCCAGUACACACCAUCAGAAAACAUCUUCGAUCUUCUAAGGCGUGGAUGCAUUAGGGGUGCGUAUAAAAAUAAUCAUACUCCUUCCGAUACAUAAAAAGUUUCCCACAUUUAGUACAAAAUAUGUACUCCCUCCGUCGAACAAAGGAUGUUUCAACUUUGAUUAAAUUUGAAUGCAUCUAUACACUAAGUCAUGUCUAGAUACAUUUAAAUUUUGACAAACUUGAGACAUCUUUUGUUGGACGGAGGGAGUACUAAUUUUAGUACAAAAUGUGUGACACUUUUUAUGAAUGGGGGGAGUAUCUCCUAGACUCUUUUGAUUCAAAUGAGUUAAUCCUUCAGAAUUUUUUCUAUGUAGGCUUAUUUCAUUCGUAGGAUUAGAUUUUAGUGGAAAUUUGCCUAUGGUUCACUUUGCACUGCAGUGAUGCAAACCAGAUUCCGCGAAAACCCACUUCUAGUUCAUUUUUCAAAUCUUCAAUUCAAAUUUUGAGCAAAAAUUUGGAUAAAAGACUUGAGAAUUGAACUAAAAGUUGACCAUCAAUGGGAUCCCGUUUGCAUCUCUACUGCUCUCAAUUCCAAAGUAAAUUUUCCAUCUAAAUCUAAUCACUUGAAAAAAUUCCUUUGUUUCCAUGAUAACUAUACCAAUGCACGUAAUGUUUUUCUCUGUUUUUCCUCUAAUGCUAGAUUGAGUCUGUUUUUCCUUUAAUGUUUUUCCAACUCGAUUAGUUUAUUCAGGUGGUUUCUUCCUGUAGAAAACAACAUAUCAUGACAUUUCAAUCUUGUGUUUGCUAUUUCAGGGCUCAUUCACUCUACAUGCGUUUUAGAUGAUUUUUCUACAAGAUUUCAACUCUUACACCUUGUUUGGCACAUGUGGGUUUCUUACGUUUUCUAUUUCUACUCUACAAUCUUAAAAUCAUGUUCUCCUUCUGACCUUUGUUCUCAAAUUUAUCUAAAUACGGAUGUAUCUAUGUUUAAAAAAUGUCUAUAUAUAUUUAUAAUAUUUCAGUAACUAAUAUGAAUCGGAGCAACUAACUCGAACGAGCCCUCGGUGUUUGAAUAUUUAAAUACUCCUGAAUGCAAGUAUAGUUCUGCACUCCUACUGCAGCUUGCUACCACGAAACUAAACAUUUCUCUUUCUGCAGCCCCCGACUCGAUCUAGCCGCAGUCCAUGUCGUUCUUUUCGCCCUGGCGUGUGCAAGAGUCGAACCCAUAGUGUGAACAAUUGAGUUAGGCACGAGCCGGAGAGGAGGAGAAAGGACAAAUUAUUGCUCAGAUUAAUCAUCACCUCGAUCGUUGCGGCGCAAUACCGUUAUAUAACGACGGAAUACGGGCCCACACGUCAGUGUAAAGCGAGCUGCUUGCCGCUUUCUCCCUCUUGCGUGACGCCGUCGCCGUCCAGAGCCAUCUGGCCACCGGGCUCCCAGCCCCCCACAGAUGUGCCCCCUGCAUGCGCGCCAUGUAUCAGCCUCUGAUACGUCAGGCCAGGAACCAUCCUCAGCCGUCAGUUCGUCCAUCUCGACGGCUGCGAUCGCGCUGCCGCCACUUAUAAAUAGCACCGAUGCACGCGCGAGAAAGUCCGUUUUACCUUGCUGGGGGGGGGGGGUUUUACUUACAUGAGCGCGGGAAUGGAGGCGGAGCUGGAGGCGGCUCAGCGGCGCUUCCGGCUCUGGUUCCGCGGGCUGCGUUCCCUGCGGCGGGACCUCCGGUCGGCCCGCUGGGCCGGCGACGACCCGGCCCAGCUGGGGAAGCUGGCGGGCGGCUUCGUGGCCCACUUCUCCGACUACUGCGCCGCGCGGGCCGAGCUGGACCCGGUCCUGCUGCUGUCGGCGCCCUGGGCGAGCCCCGCGGAGCGUGGCGCCGCCUACUGGCUGGCCGGGUGGCGGCCGACCACGGUGGUCCACCUGCUGUACACCGAGUCCAGCCGCCGGUUCGAGGCGCAGCUCCCUGACCUGCUCCUGGGCGUGCGGUCGGGCAACCUGGGCGACCUCAGCCCGGCCCAGCUGGCCCAGAUCGACGAGCUCCAGCGCCGCGCCGUCGCCGAGGAAGACGCGCUCUCAAGGGAGAUGGCGCGGCUGCAGGAGGGCCACGGCGUCGUUGGCGGAGACGGGGAUCUGGACGUGGAGGGGAUCGUGAGGCGCGCCGGGGCCGUGGUGGCAGGGGCCGACGCGCUGCGGCUGCGCACCUUGAAGCGCGCCGUGGAGAUCCUCGAGCCGGCGCAGGCCGCCGAGCUGCUCGUCGCCAUGGCCGACAUGGAGAUCGGCUUCCGGGAGUUCGGGCUAAAGCACGGCGACGGCGGUGGCGAGCCGAGCCGCGGCGCGUAGGCAUAGGCGUGGCGCGGUCCAGAGAGCAGAUCCUCAUCCGCAUCGGCGGCUCGGCCCAGUUUUUUUCUUCCAAGUGUUUGCGCUGGUUUGACUGGGACAGAAAGACUGCUCACUGUUGUAAUCUUGUUGCCGUGACGAUUGUCUUUGCCGAACUGUCUCGCGGUGGGUGCUGCGUCGUAGCUGGACCGUGUGCGUGUGCGUGUGCGUGCGCGUGCGCCUGCUGGGAUGUCGUGUGAGAAAGCAAUAAAAUGCAAGGAAUGCAUGCUUGGUUUCGUUGAGAAGUCAUAUUUUGUUUUCGAGCAAGCGGUUUUUUUAACAUCUUUUCCGAUAAAUUGGCUGUUUGUCUGUUCACUACAGAAGACCCGUCCUUUUAAAAACGGUUUUGCUAUUAAUAAAUCCAUGUUUUAGUUAGAGUAGUCAUAGGAUUUUAAUCCAAUGAUAGCAAGUGAGAGAUGAGAGAACGAGGAUGACUCUCAGAUCUCCAGCAGUUAUGAAACGUCGACUGAUAUUUAAGGUUCAUUUUUUAAAAACUUGCGACUUAGAAAUAGCCAUACCCAUUUAAAAAACGUGUUAAAUCUUAUUAAAAUAAGAUUCUGAUCGAUAACUUAUUUUUAAUAGGUAUUGCUACGGAAAAGUUGUUUUUCUAGUUAAAGAUAAGUUGAAACACCAACUGUCAUAUCUUGAUCCAACGGCGGCACAUUGAAGAUGGGGUGUAGCUGCUAGCUUCGGCAUUGAAGAUGGCGUCAUGGUAGGGAGAAGCUAUCAAGUUAUCCGAGAUAGAGGAGGCACUGAUGGAACACAUCCGCUUGCUAGGCUUGUAAUCGGACAAAUAAUUCAAACAGCUUUGCUAUUCAUAAGACAAUUGAGAAAUAAUUAUUUUCAAGCCGACGCUAACAAUCGUUUAAUCCAAUCUCUGAUAUGUGUGAGAUCUAUACAAGUGUUGUUGACUGAAAAUAACUGCUUCCUCCGCGCCUGGAUACUCGUCGUGGUCCGGAAAUCCAACCAGUUGUUCGUUCGAGCCAGAUCCAAACGACACCGGACAGACAACCACGGGCGGUUCUACCGUGCCGCACGGUCACGCGCCCAAUUAACCGGCCACACGGCCAAGCGAAUCCAGGAUUAAAAAUAGGAAUCGCGUACAAUUACCGGCCACCCAGCCAGGCAGCCCGCAACGAUAAACCAGCAGUCUCCCGCUCCAUGUUUGGGAGCCAUGCCCAACUACAAACCCAACGUUUCCAAGCUGGCCGCCGCGCCCCGCGACAUCCACACGGCAGAUUAACCCUUCUUCUCCUUUCCUUCCUUCCUCCCUCUCCGCGCGCGCGCGACCUCCCGCAGACCCGCCUCCGCGAAUCUAGCCACCCCCGCGCGUGCGCCACGCACCGUCCGUCCGUCGGACCUCGGCCGGGCCGGCCCGCGGUCGUCGGCGCGCGGAGGGCGUUCGUGAGAAUGCGUGCGGCGGCGAUUGGUUGCUAGCUAGCUAGCGGCAUGCCUGGCAUGAGCGCGUGAUGGCGCCGCCGUUCCUGAAGACCGGGCACGGCCGCGACAGGUUCUCCUUCAGGCGGCGGAAAUCGUCCUCCUCCUCGUCCUCCUCGUCGACGCCGUCUUCUCCGCUCUCGGUGUCGUCCACAGCGUCGGAGGACAUCGCCGACCCGGGCAGCCCCAUGGAGUCGUCAGCGACGACGGGCAAGACGCUGCCCUGCGCCCGGCGGGCGCUCUCGCGGAGCAGCUGCGGGUCCAGGGGCAAGCUGUCCGUCGACCUGAUCCCGCCGCCGCUCGCCGGCGGCCCGUCCGACGCGCCCAGGUCCUCCACCUCCGCCGCGCCGCCCCCCAAGCCUCCCCCCCGCAACGAGGGCCCGCCUUCAGGUCUCACCAUUGUUAAUUUUCUAGUGUCUGUCUGACUUUCUGUCGUCAAAUGCAGAGAAAUGCCUUGUUAUGUUUUCGUGAUCGAUUGCAUGUAUCCAGAUGCUGACAUCGUGAGGGACAAGUUCUCCAAGCUGCUGCUGGGGGAGGACAUGUCCGGCACCGGCAAAGGGGUGUCCUCUGCCCUCGCUCUCUCCAACGCCAUCACCAAUCUUGCAGGUAAUCUCUCCCUUACCUUCCAUUUCCGAUCUUUCCAUUUCCAAUAACAGUCCCUGUCUUUCAAAUCUUCCCAUUCUGUCCGUUGGGUUCUGAUGGAUACUGACACGAUCAGCUAUGAUUUCUUUCUCAUGACGUGGCACAUUGCAGCUUCCGUGUUCGGUGAGCAGCGGCGUCUCCAGCCGAUGGCCGCAGAGCCGAAGGCCCGAUGGACAAAAGAAAUUGACUGGCUUCUGUCCGUUGCCGACCACAUCGUCGAAUUCGUUCCUUCACGUCAGGUGUCCGAGGAUGGCUCCACCAUGGAGGUCAGAAACAAGAGGAUCCUUGCUUAUCACAAGUACCUGGAUGUAGUUCUGUAUCACGGAACAUCUUUAUGCAAAUCCAAUUACAGCGGUGCUAUUUUUCUCUCUCUCCCCCCAAACAGAUAAUGAUGACUCAGCAGCGUAAGGAUCUGCAGAUGAACAUCCCCGCACUGCGCAAGCUCGACGGGAUGCUCCUUGUAAAGCUCUGCCACAUUCUUCUUUGAAAUCAUUUACGAGAAUGACAUGCGUGGAGAUACCUGAUGAAUUGCUAAUAUGCUAUGGCUGCACAUUUCCUGUUGUGGGGGCACAGAGCUAUCUUGACAGCUUCAGGGACAAGCAGGAGUUUUGGUACGUGUCGAAAGACGCAGAUGACUCGGAGAAGGGAGACGCGCCGAAGCAGGAUGACAAGUGGUGGCUCCCGACUGUCAGGGUCCCUCCUAAUGGUCUGUCGGACUCGUCGAGGAGGUGGCUUCUACACCAGAGGGAGCUCGUCGGCCAAGUCCAUAAGGCAACAAUGGCCAUCAAUGCUAAUGUUCUUAUGGAGAUGGAUGUUCCAGAAGCCUAUAUGGAGUCUCUGCCUAAGGUGACCCAUAUGAACACAGCAACAUUGCAUAACAUUUUUCUUUACUUCGGUUCACUGCAUUUAGAGGGAUCGAGACUCACUUUGACAGCAUCUUCUUUUUUUAUGCUUGAUAGAAUGGAAAGUCUAGCCUUGGAGACUCAAUGUACAAGCUUAUAACUGACGAAUAUUUUGACCCAGAAGAACUCAUAGCAUCAGUAGACUUGUCAGCCGAGUACAGCAUCGUUGAUCUGAAGAACCGAAUCGAAGCCUCGAUUGUCAUUUGGCAGAAGAAAAUGACGCAGAAGGAUGCCAAGAUGUGGGGGCAUGGUGUCAGUCAUGAGAAGCGGGGACGGUUUGAGGGGAGGGCGGAGAAUGUUCUUCUCCUCCUUAAGCACAGAUUCCCCGGAAUUUCUCAGUCAGCUCUGGACAUAAGCAAAAUCCAGUACAACAGGGUACUGGCAACCAUCUUCAAUUUUCCACUGUAUUUUCGGAUUUCCUACAGUACUUUAUUACUCAUGCUCAUUGCAUACAUUUUCUCGUUGUGAUUUUUUUGCAGGAUGUUGGCAGUGCCAUUUUGGAGAGCUACUCCAGGACUCUUGAGAGUCUAGCAUACACGGUUAUGUCUCGCAUCGAAGACGUUCUUCGCGCCGACUCCCUUGCUCAAGACCCCAAGAACGCGGAGGCGACGAGAAUGCCGAGCUUAUCAUCAGAUGACACAGACACGGUCGUCCAAGAUGCCAAGGACGAGGUGGAGAGGCUGGGAAGAAUGGAGCCUCUGAACUCGACACUAUUCGACUACGUGGGCCCACGGGACGGAGAUAUCGGGCCCAUGAUGUCGGAUUCACAGGAACCUCGGGGUGCAAAGCUGUCAAAGGUUUCGUCGAUCGCAACCAAGAGGUUCUCCUACCUAGAUAAGCUUGAGAAUUUGGGUGGAACAAGGAGCCCCAUAUCUAGACACUAGUCGCUGCCGUAGGGGAAAAGACGAUCAAUAUGGUGUUGAUGUUGCUGCAGAGACUCCGGGGAAAACUGCACGUAAAUAGCUCCGCAAAAACUGAGGGUGCAGCAUGCAUUGUGAGGUUUAUGUAAGCUUUCAAGCUUUCAGGCACCAAUACCUCCAAUUUGGUGCAGUUGCCAAGACAAUGUGAUGACGAUUCUCCUGCUAAAUUUACAUGAAAUAACCACAAGAUUCUGACACUGGACCUGAAAAUGGACCUCCAGAUUUUCUUACUGUACUUCUGUAGCAAAGUUUUGUGGUUCCAGUAAAGUGUUUGUUAUCUUAGACUUGACUUGCAGACCAUGCUUGGGUUCGGCUAGUGUUCUCCCCACGUACAAUUUAAGAGGGUAAUAACAUAUCACUGAACUUGGAGAUCGAUCUGUGUUAGCUUCUGGCGUUCUAGAUCGGCACUGUAAUAAGUAACUGUAACUGUACCAUGGCUCUAUGCAUUGGGAAAUUAAAACCACUCGUAUGAGUAAAUCAAUUUACAGGAACAAAUGAGCAGUAAAAAGCAUCCUUCCGGUUGCUGAUAGUACGUGCAGCUAGGCACGCCAUAUGAGUACAUACAACGAAGGACUUAACGUCCAGAUACGCAGAUCCAUGGUACACAAGCACAGGCAUAUGCAGGAACAGAUUCAGAGAGAGAGAGAGAGAGAAAGAAACUGAAACCAAAGCUUUAAUCAAAUCAGAUCAGAUCUUGCCGCGUGGGCCGGGGGUGGGGGGAAGCUGCGGCCCCUUCUUGAUGGGCAGCAGGUCCGGCGACGUGGUGGCGCCGAGGUAGGCGAUCAGGGACCCGCCGCCGAGGAGCAGGAACUUGAGCAGCAGGCCGCGCUUGGUGAAUGGCGCCGCGAAGGUCUGGAAGAACUUGCUCUGCAGCCCGUUGUAAGGGGACGGCGCGUCGGACCCGUACAGGUCCCACUGCCCCGUCGUGUUGCCGAUGUCGUCCAGGUCGAAGUACACGCUCUUCUCCCCGUACUUCGCCUGCACCGCGACGCCUCGUGCAGGCCUGCAGGCGUACGCGCACGCGUAUAUAUACGGUUAUUUAUACGUAUGUACAUACGCUCGAUCGAUGACAUAUUAGCUCGCUUCACGUGCGUACCUGCGGGUGGAGCGGCAGAGGGAGGACGGCCGGGCGGUGGCGGCGAGCUUGCGGCCGGACAUGGAACUGCCGGCCAGGCCCUUCACGGCGGCCGACGGCUGGACGGCGACGAGCGACACCAUUGUUGUAACAGUGGGAUGUGUUCUGAGCUUCUUUUUCUUUUUUUUUUUGCUGCGGGUUACGUGCGCGAACUUGAUCCAGUGCUGGGGAUAUUUGGAAGGUGUGCUGCUGCGGGGCUGAUCAGGUUUGGGUGGGAGAGGCUUGGCGGGGAUGGGCGAGGCCCCCAUUGGGAGCGCGCCACGCGGCAGGGUUCCGGAUAGGCUUAUCCUGAUCGCUUGAUUCUUGGGAGGGAUGACAUGGCGCGGCCAACGUGGCACCGGAGCUUGCGUGGGGUUGUCCAGCUGGGAACGGGCGUCGGAAAAGAUCUCACCAGAUGUCCCCGACGGCAUCGAUCGAUCGAUCACGGUCUCACUGAGAUAUGGUGGGCCGGUGGGCCCAGAAGCCCUCUAGCUAGGUGCUAGGACAGUGCACGUAACGUACUCCGUAUUGAUCAUUGAAGGAAAGUAAAGAGAGAUAGGUAGAGAAGGACGUCCACGUACUCCGUUGCAUUUUGCAAAUGUUGCACGUACGUACGUAUCAGCACCAGGAUACAUAUGCAACGUGGGCAGGCAGAGUACGUAUAUUGUAGUGUAACGUAUUGCUAGUCGAUCUUAAGCACCUUCCGCUUGGCCGGGGAUACUAAUUAACCGGUAAAUACGGCGGAAGGGAUGUGUACAGGCGCGAUAUAUACAGUGGAUCCAGAUCUGAGAUCGAUCUAGCUGAGCCUUGCGUACGUGCUAUAUACACAUCCUCAUCCGCGAUGGGCAAGCGCAUGCAUGCAGGGUACGCUUCUACGACAAUGGAGCAGCAAAGGAAUUGACGCU
rnacentral:lncRNA from 1 species